UUGCUGGUAUGAUCGCAUCCGUUACUACAUGCAAUGCAAUCGUAUCUAUUCUUUUUUGAAGACUUUAUGAUCCAUUUGCCGUGGGUCCCACCAGCUAUGUUGGAAUACCCUAUCUUGUUUAUAAGAGCUUUGUUACAUGCAAAAUAUUCGAAAACAAUGUCCGAACAUAUAAUAUUUGCCCCGUAAUAUAGCAAAGAUCACGAAAAGGCCAGAAAACCUAUAUUAAGUUCAAAAUUUGGAGUAGAAAAAAACCAAUAGAAGAAUUCCAUUUUCCUUCCUCACUCAUCGGAGAGCUCUCUUUGGGGCUUUCCGAAAAGGUAUCACAUGCAAAGUUUGGCCUCACAGGCUAAAAGUUAUAGAGUCGUACAUUUUUAACAAAAAAAAAAAGAGAAAAGCCGAAAAAAAGAAGGAUGCAACACAAGGACUUUCCGGGAGGUCAGCCAUCCUAAUAUUACUCUCGCCCAAGCACGCUUAACUGUAGAGUUCUGAUGGGAUCCGGUGCAUUAGUGCUGGUAUGAUCGCAUCUGUUACUACAUGCAAUGCAAUCGUAUCUAUUCUUUUUUUAAGACUUUAUGAUCCAUUUACCGUGGGUCCCACCAGCUACGUAGGAAUAACCUAUCUUAUUUAUAAGAGCUUUGAUACAUGCAAAAUAUUCGAAAACAAUGUCCGAACAUAUAAUUUUCGUCCCGUAAUAUAGCAAAGAUCACAAAAAGGCCAGAAAGAGUACAUUAAGGUCAAAAUUUUGGAGUAGAAAAAAAAACCCUUCCUCAUUCAUUAAAGAGCUCUCUUUGGCAUUUCCGAAAAGGUGUCACAUGCCAAGUUCGGCCUCACGGUCUAAAAGUUAUAGAGUCAUACAUUGUUAACAAAAAAAAAGAGAAAAACCGAUUAAAAGAGUUAUGCAACACAAGGACUUUCCUGGAGGUCACCCGUCCUAGUACUACUCUCGCCCAAGCACGCUUAAAUGCGGAGUUCUGAUGGGAUCCGGUCCAUGAGUGGUGGUAUGAUCACAUCCGUUACUACAUGCAAUGCAAUCGUAUCUAUUAUUUUUUGAAGACUUUAUGAUCCAUUUGCCGUGGGUCCCACCAGCUAUGUAGGAAUACCCUAUCUUGUUUAUAAGAGCUUUGAUACAUCCAAAAUAUUCGAAAACAAUGUUGGAACGUAUAAGUUUCGCUCAGUAAUAUAGCAAAGAUCACGAAAAGGCCACAAAAAGUACAUUAAGGUAAAAAUUUAGAGUAGGAAAAAAAAACAAUAGGAGAAUUCCAUGUUCCUUCCUCAAUCAUCGGAGAGCUCUCUUUGGGCUUUCCAAAAAGGUAUCACAUGCCAAGUUUGGCCUCACGGUCUAAAAGUUAUAGAGUCAUACAUUUUUAACAAAAAAAAAUAGAGAAAAACCAAAAAAAAGAGGGAUGCAACACGAAGACUUUCCUGGAGGUCACCCAUCCUAGUACUACUCUCGCCCAAGCACGCUUAACUGCGGUGUUCUGAUAGGAUCAAGUGCAUUAGUGCUGGUAGGAUCGCAUUCGUUACUACAUGCAAUGCAAUUAUAUAUAUUCUUUUUUGAAGACUUUAUGAUCCAUUUGCGGUAGGUCCCACCAGCUAUGUAGGAAUACCCUAUCUUGCUUAUAAGAGUUUUGAUACAUGCAAAAAUAUUCGAAAACAAUGUCCGAACAUAUAAUUUUUGUCCCGUAAUAUAACAAAGAUCACGAAAAGGCCAAAAAUAGUACAUUUCGGUCAAAACAUGGAGCAGAAAAAAAACCCCUUCCUCAUUCAUCGGAGAGCUCUCAUUGGGCUUUCCGAAAAGAUAUCACAUGCAAAGUUUGGCCUCACGGUUUAAAAGUUAUAGAGUCAAAUAUUUUUAACAAAAAAAAGAGAGAAAAACCGAAAACAAAGAGGGAUGCAACACGAGGACUUUCCGGAAGGUCACCCAUCCUAGUACUACUCUAGCCCAAGCACGCUUAACCGCGGAGUUCUGAUAGGAUCCGGUGCAUUAGUGCUGGUAUGAUCGCAUCAGUUACUACAUGCAAUGCAAUCAUAUAUAUUUUUUUUGAAGACUUUAUGAUCCAUUUGCCGUGGGUCCCACCAGCUAUGUAGGAAUACCUAUCUUGUUUAUAAGAGCUUUGAUACAUGCAAAAUAUUUGAAAACAAUGUCCGAACGUAUAAUCUUCGUCCCGUAAUAUAGCAAAGAUCACGAAAAGGCCAGAAAAAGUACAUUAAGGUCAAAAUUUUGACUAGAAAAAAAAAACAAUAGAAAAAUUCCAUUGUCCUUCCUCAUUCAUCGGAGAGUUCUCUUUGGGCUUUCCGAAAAGGUAUCACAUGCCAAGUUUGGCCUCACGGUCUAAAACUUAUAGAAUCAUACAUUCUUAACAAAAAAAAAAAAAAAACCGAAAAAAAGAAGAAUGCAACACAAGGACUUUCCAGGAGGUCAACCAUCCUAGUAGUACUCUCGCCCAAUCACGCUUAACUGCAGAGUUCUGAUGGGAUCCGGUGCAUUAGUGCUGGUAUGAUCGCAUCUGUUACUACAUGCAAUGCAAUCGUAUCUAUUCUUUUUUGAAGACUUUAUGAUCCAUUUGCCGUGGGUCCCACCAGCUAUGUAGGAAUACCUUAUCUUGUUUAUAAGAGCUUUGAUACAUGCAAAAUAUUCGAAUACAAUGUCUGAACGUAUAACUUUCGCCCCGUAAUAUAGCGAAGAUCACGAAAAGGCCCGAAAAAGUACAUUAAGGUCAAAAUUUCGAGUAGAAAUAAAAACCAAUAGAAGAAUUCCAAUUUCCUUCCUCAUUCAUUGGAGAGCUCUCUUUGGGCUUUCCGAAAAGGUAUCACAUGCGAAGUUUCGCCUCACAAUCUAAAAGUUAUAUAGUCAUACAUUUUUAACAAAACAAAUAGAGAAAAACCGAAAAAAAGAAUGAUACAACACAACGACUUUCCCGGAGGUCACCCAUCCUAAUACUAUUCUCGCCCAAGCAAGCUUAACUGCAGAGUAUUGAUGGGAUCUGAUGCAUAAGUGCUGAUAUGAUCGCAUCCGUUACUACAUGCAAUGCAAUCGUAUCUAUUCGUUUUUGAAGACUUUAUGAUCCAUUUGCCGUGGGUCCCACCAGCUAUGUAGGAAUACCCUAUCUUGUUUAUAAGAGCUUUGAUACAUGCAAAAAAUUGGAAAACAAUGUCUGAACAUAUAAUUUUUGUCCCGUAAUAUAGCAAAGAUCACGAAAAGGAUAGAAAAAGUACAUUAAGGUCAAAAUUUUGAGUAGAAAAAAAAUCAAUAGAAGGAUUCCAAUUUCCUUGCUCAUUCAUAUAGCUCUCUUUGGGCUUUCCGAAAAGGUAUCACAUGCAAAGUUUGGCCUCGCGGUCUAAAAGUUAUAGAGGUAUACUUUUUUACCAAAAAAAAAGAAGAAAAAAACCAAAAAAAAGAGGGAUUCAACACGAGGACUUUCUGGGAGGUCACUCAUCCUAUUACUACUCUCGCCCAAGCACGCUUAACUGCGGAGUUCUGAUAGGAUCCAGUGCAUUAGUGCGGGUAUGAUCACAUCCGUUACUACAUGCAAUGCAAUCGUAUAUAUUUUUUUUGAAGACUUUAUGAUCCAUUUGCCGUGGGUCUCACCAGCUAUAUAGGAAUACCCUAUCUUGUUUAUAAGAGCUUUGAUACAUGCAAAAUAUUUGAAAACAAUGUCCGAACGUAUAAUCUUCGUCCCGUAAUAUAGCAAAGAUCACUAAAAGGCUAGAAAAAGUACAUUAAGAUCAAAAUUUUGAGUAGAAAAAUAAACAAUAGAAAAAUUCCAUUGUCCUUCCUCAUUCAUCGGAGAGUUCUCUUUGGGCUUUCCGAAAAGGUAUCACAUGCCAAGUUUGGCCUCACGGUCUAAAACUUAUAGAAUCAUACAUUCUUAACAAAAAAAAAAGAGAAAAACCGAAAAAAAGAAGAAUUUAACACAAGGACUUUCCAGGAGGUCAACCAUCCUAGUAGUACUCUCGCCCAAUCACGCUUAACUGCAGAGUUCUGAUGGGAUCCGGUGCAUUAGUGCUGGUAUGAUCGCAUCUGUUACUACAUGCAAUGCAAUCGUAUCUGUUACUACAUGCAAUGCAAUCGUAUCUGUUACUACAUGCAAUGCAAUCGUAUCUAUUCUUUUUUGAAGACUUUAUGAUCCAUUUGCCGUGGGUCCCACCAGCUAUGUAGGAAUACCCUAUCUUGUUUAUAAGAGCUUUGAUACAUGCAAAAUAUUCGAAUACAAUGUCUAAACGUAUAAGUUUCGCCCCGUAAUAUAGCGAAGAUCACGAAAAGGCCCGAAAAAGUACAUUAAGGUCAAAAUUUGGAGUAGAAAUAAAAACCAAUAGAAGAAUUCCAAUUUCCUUCCUCAUUCAUUGGAGAGCUCUCUUUGGGCUUUCCGAAAAGGUAUCACAUGCGAAGUUUGGCCUCACAAUCUAAAAGUUAUAUAGUCAUACAUUUUUAACAAAACAAAUAGAGAAAAACCGAAAAAAAGAAUGAUACAACACAAGGACUUUCCGGGAGGUCACCCAUCCUAAUACUAUUCUCGCCCAAGCAAGCUUAACUGCAGAGUAUUGAUGGGAUCUGAUGCAUAAGGGCUGAUAUGAUCGCAUCCGUUACUACAAGCAAUGCAAUCGUAUCUAUUCGUUUUUGAAGACUUUAUGAUCCAUUUGCCGUGGGUCCCACCAGCUAUGUAGGAAUACCCUAUCUUGUUUAUAAGAGCUUUGAUACAUGCAAAAAAUUGGAAAACAAUGUCUGAACAUAUAAUUUUUGUCCCGUAAUAUAGCAAAGAUCACGAAAAGGAUAGAAAAAGUACAUUAAGGUCAAAAUUUUGAGUAGAAAAAAAAUCAAUAGAAGGAUUCCAAUUUCCUUCCUCAUUCAUAUAGCUCUCUUUGGGCUUUCCGAAAAGGUAUCACAUGCAAAGUUUGGCCCCGCGGUCUAAAAGUUAUAGAGGUAUACAUUUUUACCAAAAAAAAGAGGGAUUCAACACGAGGACUUUUUUNNNNNNNNNNNNNNNNNNNNNNNNNNNNNNNNNNNNNNNNNNNNNNNNNNUGCUGGUAUGAUCGCAUCAGUUACUACAUGCAAUGCAAUCAUAUAUAUUCUUUUUUGAAGACUUUAUGAUCCAUUUGCCGUAGGUCCCACCAGCUAUGUAGGAAUACCCUAUCUUGUUUAUAAGAGCUUUGAUACAUGCAAAAUAUUCGAAAACAAUGUCCGAACAUAUAAUUUUUGUCCCGUAAUAUAGCAAAGAUCACGAAAAGGCCAGAAAAAAUACAUUUCGGUCAAAAUUUGGAGUAGAAAAAAAGCCCUUCCUCAUUCAUUGGACAGCUCUCUUUGGGCUUUCCGAAAAGGUAUCACAUGCCAAGUUUGGCCUCACGGUCUAAACCUUAUAGACUCAUACAUUUUUCACAAAAAAAAGAAGAGAAAAACCAAAAAAAAGAGUGAUUAAACACGAGGAUUUUCCUGGAGGUCACCCAUCCUAGUACUACUCUCGCCCAAGCACGCUUAACUGCGAAGGUCUGAUGGGAUAUGGUGCAUUAGUGCUGGUAUGAUCGCAUCUGUUACUACAUGCAAUGCAAUCGUAUCUAUUCUUUUUUGAAGAUUUGAUGAUUCAUUUACCGUGGGUCCCACCAGCUAUGUAGGAAUAACCUAUCUUAUUUAUAAAAGCUUUGAUACAUGCAAAAUAUUCGAAAACAAUGUCCGAACAUAUAAUGUUCGCCCCAAAAUAUAGCAAAGACCACAAAAAUGCCAUAAAAAGUACAUUAAGGUCAAAAUUUGGAGUAGGAAAAAAAUCAAUAGGAGAAUUCCAUUUUCCUUCCCUCAUUCAUCAGAGAGCUCUCUUUGGGCAUUCCAAAAAGGUAUCACAUGCCAAGUUUGGCCUCACGGUCUAAAAGUUAUAGAGUAUUACAUUUUUAACAAAAAAAAAAGGGAAAAACCGAAAAAGAGGGAUGCAACACGAAGACUUUUCUGGAGGUCACCCAUUCUAGUACUACUCUCCCCCAAGCACGCUUAACUGUGGUGUUCUAAUAGGAUCAAGUGCAUUAGUGCUGGUAUGAUCGCAUCAGUUACUACAUGCAAUGCAAUCAUAUAUAUUCUUUUUUGAAGACUUUAUGAUCCAUUUGCCGUAGGUCCCACCAGCUAUGUAGGAAUACCCUAUCUUGUUUAUAAGAGCUUUGAUACAUGCAAAAUAUUCGAAAACAAUGUCCGAACAUAUAAUUUUUGUCCCGUAAUAUAGCAAAGAUCACGAAAAGGCCAGAAAAAAUACAUUUCGGUCAAAAUUUGGAGUAGAAAAAAAGCCCUUCCUCAUUCAUUGGACAGCUCUCUUUGGGCUUUCCGAAAAGGUAUCAUAUGCCAAGUUUGGCCUCACGGUCUAAACCUUAUAGACUCAUACAUUUUUCACAAAAAAAAGAAGAGAAAAACCAAAAAAAAGAGUGAUUAAACACGAGGACUUUCCUGGAGGUCAUCCAUCCUAGUACUACUCUCGCCCAAGCACGCUUAAUUGCGAAGUUCUGAUGGGAUCUGGUGCAUUAGUGCUGGUAUGAUCGCAUAUGUUACUACAUGCAAUGCAAUCGUAUCUAUUCUUUUUUGAAGAUUUUAUGAUUCAUUUACCGUGGGUACCACCAGCUAUGUAGGAAUAACCUAUCUUAUUUAUAAGAGCUUUGAUACAUGCAAAAUAUUCGAAAACAAUGUCCGAACAUAUAAUUUUUGUCCCGUAAUAUAGCAAAGAUCACGAAAAGGCCAGAAAAAAUACAUUUCGGUCAAAAUUUGGAGUAGAAAAAAACCCUUCCUCAUUCAUUGGACAGCUCUGUUUGAGCUUUCCGAAAAGGUAUCACAUGCCAAGUUUGGCCUCACGGUCUAAAAGUUAUAGAGUCAUACAUUUUUCACAAAAAAAAGAAGAGAAAAACCAAAAAAAAGAGUGAUGAAACACGAGGACUUUCCUGGAGGUCACCCAUCCUAGUACUACUCUCGCCCAAGCACGCGUAACUGCGAAGUUCUGAUGGGAUCUGGUGCAUUAGUGCUGGUAUGAUCGCAUCUGUUACUACAUGCAAUGCAAUCGUAUCUAUUCUUUUUUGAAGAUUUUAUGAUUCAUUUACCGUGGGUCCCACCAGCUAUGUAGGAAUAACCUAUCUUAUUUAUAAGAGCUUUGAUACAUGCAAAAUAUUGGAAAACAAUGUCCGAACAUAUAAUGUUCGCCCCAAAAUAUAGCAAAGACAACAAAAAUCCCAUAAAAAGUACAUUAAGGUCAAAAUUUGGAGUAGGAAAAAAAUCAAUAAGAGAAUUCCAUUUUCCUUCCCUCAUUCAUCGGAGAGGUCUCUUUGGGCAUUCCAAAAAGGUAUCACAUGCCAAGUUUGGCCUCACGGUCUAAAAGUUAUAGAGUAAUACAUUUUUAACAAAAAAAAAAGAGAAAAACCGAAAAAAAGAGGGAUGCAACACGAAGACUUUUCUGGAGGUCACCCAUCCUAGUACUACUCUCCCAAAGCACGCUUAACUGUGGUGUUCUGAUAGGAUCAAGUGCAUUAGUGCGGGUAUGAUCGCAUCAGUUACUACAUGCAAUGCAAUCAUAUAUAUUCUUUUUUGAAGACUUUAUGAUCCAUUUGCCGUAGGUCCCACCAGCUAUGUAGGAAUACCCUAUCUUGUUUAUAAGAGCUUUGAUACAUGCAAAAUAUUCGAAAACAAUGUCCGAACAUAUAAUUUUUGUCCCGUAAUAUAGCAAAGAUCACGAAAAGGCCAGGAAAAAUACAUUUCGGUCAAAAUUUGGAGUAGAAAAAAAACCCUUCCUCAUUCAUUGGACAGCUCUCUUUGGGCUUUCCGAAAAGGUAUCACAUGCCAAGUUUGGCCUCACGGUCUAAAAGUUAUAGAUUCAUACAUUUUUCACAAAAAAAAGAAGAGAAAAACCAAAAAAAAGAGGGAUGAAACACGAGGACUUUCCCAGAGGUCACCCAUCCUAGUACUACUCUCGCCCAAGCACGCUUAACUGCGAAGUUCUGAUGGGAUCUGGUGCAUUAGUGCUGGUAUGAUCGCAUCUGUUACUACAUGCAAUGCAAUCGUAUCUAUUCUUUUUUGAAGAUUUUAUGAUUCAUUUACCGUGGGUCCCACCAGCUAUGUAGGAAAACCUAUCUUAUUUAUAAGAUCUUUGAUACAUGCAAAAUAUUGGAAAACAAUGUCCGAACAUAUAAUGUUCGCCCCAAAAUAUAGCGAAGACCACAAAAAUGCCAUAAAAAGUACAUUAAGGUCAAAAUUUGGAGUAGGAAAAAAAUCAAUAGGAGAAUUCCAUUUUCCUUCCCUCAUUCAUCGGAGAGCUCUCUUUGGGCAUUCCAAAAAGGUAUCACAUGCCAAGUUUGGCCUCACGGUCUAAAAGUUAUAGAAUAUUACAUUUUUAACAAAAAAAAAGAGAAAAACCAAAAAAAAGAGGGAUGCAACACGAGGACUUUUCUGGAGGUCACCCAUCCUACUACUACUCUCGCCCAAGCACACUUAACUGCGGUGUUCUGAUAGGAUCAAGUGCAUUAGUGCUGGUAUGAUCGCAUCAGUUACUACAUGCAAUGCAAUCAUAUAUAUUCUUUUUUGAAGACUUUAUGAUCCAUUUGCCGUAGGUCCCACCAGCUAUGUAGGAAUACCCUAUCUUGUUUAUAAGAGCUUUGAUACAUGCAAAAUAUUCGAAAACAAUGUCCGAACAUAUAAUUUUUGUCCCGUAAUAUAGCAAAGAUCACGAAAAGGCCAGAAAAAAUACAUUUUGGUCAAAAUUUGGAGUAGAAAAAAAGCCCUUCCUCAUUCAUUGGACAGCUCUCUUUGGGCUUUCCGAAAAGGUAUCACAUGCCAAGUUUGGCCUCACGGUCUAAACCUUAUAGACUCAUACAUUUUUCACAAAAAAAAGAAGAGAAAAACCAAAAAAAAGAGUGAUUAAACACGAGGAUUUUCCUGGAGGUCACCCAUCCUAGUACUACUCUCGCCCAAGCACGCUUAACUGCGAAGGUCUGAUGGGAUAUGGUGCAUUAGUGCUGGUAUGAUCGCAUCUGUUACUACAUGCAAUGCAAUCGUAUCUAUUCUUUUUUGAAGAUUUGAUGAUUCAUUUACCGUGGGUCCCACCAGCUAUGUAGGAAUAACCUAUCUUAUUUAUAAAAGCUUUGAUACAUGCAAAAUAUUCGAAAACAAUGUCCGAACAUAUAAUGUUCGCCCCAAAAUAUAGCAAAGAUCACAAAAAUGCCAUAAAAAGUACAUUAAGGUCAAAAUUUGGAGUAGGAAAAAAAUCAAUAGGAGAAUUCCAUUUUCCUUCCCUCAUUCAUCGGAGAGCUCUCUUUGGGCAUUCCAAAAAGGUAUCACAUGCCAAGUUUGGCCUCACGGUCUAAAAGUUAUAGAGUAUUACAUUUUUAACAAAAAAAAAAGGGAAAAACCGAAAAAGAGGGAUGCAACACGAAGACUUUUCUGGAGGUCACCCAUCCUAGUACUACUCUCCCCCAAGCACGCUUAACUGUGGUGUUCUAAUAGGAUCAUGUGCAUUAGUGCUGGUAUGAUCGCAUCAGUUACUACAUGCAAUGCAAUCAUAUAUAUUCUUUUUUGAAGACUUUAUGAUCCAUUUGCCGUAGGUCCCACCAGCUAUGUAGGAAUACCCUAUCUUGUUUAUAAGAGCUUUGAUACAUGCAAAAUAUUCGAAAACAAUGUCCGAACAUAUAAUUUUUGUCCCGUAAUAUAGCAAAGAUCACGAAAAGGCCAGAAAAAAUACAUUUCGGUCAAAAUUUGGAGUAGAAAAAAAGCCCUUCCUCAUUCAUUGGACAGCUCUCUUUGGGCUUUCCGAAAAGGUAUCAUAUGCCAAGUUUGGCCUCACGGUCUAAACCUUAUAGACUCAUACAUUUUUCACAAAAAAAAGAAGAGAAAAACCAAAAAAAAGAGUGAUUAAACACGAGGACUUUCUUGGAGGUCAUCCAUCCUAGUACUACUCUCGCCCAAGCACGCUUAACUGCGAAGUUCUGAUGGGAUCUGGUGCAUUAGUGCUGGUAUGAUCGCAUCUGUUACUACAUGCAAUGCAAUCGUAUCUAUUCUUUUUUGAAGAUUUUAUGAUUCAUUUACCGUGGGUACCACCAGCUAUGUAGGAAUAACCUAUCUUAUUUAUAAGAGCUUUGAUACAUGCAAAAUAUUCGAAAACAAUGUCCGAACAUAUAAUUUUUGUCCCGUAAUAUAGCAAAGAUCACGAAAAGGCCAGAAAAAAUACAUUUUGGUCAAAAUUUGGAGUAGAAAAAAACCCUUCCUCAUUCAUUGGACAGCUCUGUUUGAGCUUUCCGAAAAGGUAUCACAUGCCAAGUUUGGCCUCACGGUCUAAAAGUUAUAGAGUCAUACAUUUUUCACAAAAAAAAAGAAGAGAAAAACCAAAAAAAAGAGUGAUGAAACACGAGGACUUUCCUGGAGGUCACCCAUCCUAGUACUACUCUCGCCCAAGCACGCGUAACUACGAAGUUCUGAUGGGAUCUGGUGCAUUAGUGCUGGUAUGAUCGCAUCUGUUACUACAUGCAAUGCAAUCGUAUCUAUUCUUUUUUGAAGAUUUUAUGAUUCAUUUACCGUGGGUCCCACCAGCUAUGUAGGAAUAACCUAUCUUAUUUAUAAGAGCUUUGAUACAUGCAAAAUAUUGGAAAACAAUGUCCGAACAUAUAAUGUUCGCCCCAAAAUAUAGCAAAGACAACAAAAAUGCCAUAAAAAGUACAUUAAGGUCAAAAUUUGGAGUAGGAAAAAAAUCAAUAAGAGAAUUCCAUUUUCCUUCCCUCAUUCAUCGGAGAGCUCUCUUUGGGCAUUCCAAAAAGGUAUCACAUGCCAAGUUUGGCCUCACGGUCUAAAAGUUAUAGAGUAGUACAUUUUUAACAAAAAAAAAAGAGAGAAACCGAAAAAAAGAGGGAUGCAACACGAAGACUUUUCUGGAGGUCACCCAUCCUAGUACUACUCUCCCAAAGCACGCUUAACUGUGGUGUUCUGAUAGGAUCAAGUGCAUUAGUGCGGGUAUGAUCGCAUCAGUUACUACAUGCAAUGCAAUCAUAUAUAUUCUUUUUUGAAGACUUUAUGAUCCAUUUGCCGUAGGUCCCACCAGCUAUGUAGGAAUACCCUAUCUUGUUUAUAAGAGCUUUGAUACAUGCAAAAUAUUCGAAAACAAUGUCCGAACAUAUAAUUUUUGUCCCGUAAUAUAGCAAAGAUCACGAAAAGGCCAGGAAAAAUACAUUUCGGUCAAAAUUUGGAGUAGAAAAAAAACCCUUCCUCAUUCAUUGGACAGCUCUCUUUGGGCUUUCCGAAAAGGUAUCACAUGCCAAGUUUGGCCUCACGGUCUAAAAGUUAUAGAUUCAUACAUUUUUCACAAAAAAAAGAAGAGAAAAACCAAAAAAAAGAGGGAUGAAACACGAGGACUUUCCCAGAGGUCACCCAUCCUAGUACUACUCUCGCCCAAGCACGCUUAACUGCGAAGUUCUGAUGGGAUCUGGUGCAUUAGUGCUGGUAUGAUCGCAUCUGUUACUACAUGCAAUGCAAUCGUAUCUAUUCUUUUUUGAAGAUUUUAUGAUUCAUUUACCGUGGGUCCCACCAGCUAUGUAGGAAAACCUAUCUUAUUUAUAAGAUCUUUGAUACAUGCAAAAUAUUGGAAAACAAUGUCCGAACAUAUAAUGUUCGCCCCAAAAUAUAGCGAAGACCACAAAAAUGCCAUAAAAAGUACAUUAAGGUCAAAAUUUGGAGUAGGAAAAAAAUCAAUAGGAGAAUUCCAUUUUCCUUCCCUCAUUCAUCGGAGAGCUCUCUUUGGGCAUUCCAAAAAGGUAUCACAUGCCAAGUUUGGCCUCACGGUCUAAAAGUUAUAGAAUAUUACAUUUUUAACAAAAAAAAAGAGAAAAACCGAAAAAAAGAGGGAUGCAACACGAAGACUUUUCUGGAGGUCACCCAUCCUACUACUACUCUCGCCCAAGCACACUUAACUGCGGUGUUCUGAUAGGAUCAAGUGCAUUAGUGCUGGUAUGAUCGCAUCAGUUACUACAUGCAAUACAAUCAUAUAUAUUCUUUUUUGAAGACUUUAUGAUCCAUUUGCCGUAGGUCCCACCAGCUAUGUAGGAAUACCUUAUCUUGUUUAUAAGAGCUUUGAUACAUGCAAAAUAUUCGAAAACAAUGUCCGAACAUAUAAUUUUUGUCCCGUAAUAUAGCAAAGAUCACGAAAAGGCCAGAAAAAAUACAUUUCGGUCAAAAUUUGGAGUAGAAAAAAAACCCUUCCUCAUUCAUUGGACAGCUCUCUUUGGGCUUUCCGAAAAGGUAUCACAUGCCAAGUUUGGCUUCACGGUCUAAACCUUAUAGACUCAUACAUUUUUCACAAAAAAAAGAAGAGAAAAACAAAAAAAAAGAGUGAUUAAACACGAGGACUUUCCUGGAGGUCACCCAUCCUAGUACUACUCUCGCCCAAGCACUCUUAACUGCGAAGUUCUGAUGGGAUCUGGUGCAUUAGUGCUGGUAUGAACGCAUCUGUUACUACAUGCAAUGCAAUCGUAUGUAUUCUUUUUUGAAGAUUUUAUGAUUCAUUUACCGUGGGUCCCACCAGCUAUGUAGGAAUAACCUAUCUUAUUUAUAAAAGCUUUGAUACAUGCAAAAUAUUCGAAAACAAUGUCCGAACAUAUAAUGUUCGCCCCAAAAUAUAGCAAAGACCACAAAAAUGCCAUAAAAAGUACAUUAAGGUCAAAAUUUGGAGUAGGAAAAAAAUCAAUAGGAGAAUUCCAUUUUCCUUCCCUCAUUCAUCGGAGAGCUCUCUUUGGGCAUUCCAAAAAGGUAUCACAUGCCAAGUUUGGCCUCACGGUCUAAAAGUUAUAGAGUAUUACAUUUUUAACAAAAAAAAAAAGAGAAAAACCGAAAAAAAGAGGGAUGCAACACGAAGACUUUUCUGGAGGUCACCCAUCCUAGUACUACUCUCCCCCAAGCACGCUUAACUGUGGUGUUCUGAUAGGAUCAAGUGCAUUAGUGCUGGUAUGAUCGCAUCAGUUACUACAUGCAAUGCAAUCAUAUAUAUUCUUUUUUGAAGACUUUAUGAUCCAUUUGCCGUAGGUCCCACCAGCUAUGUAGGAAUACCCUAUCUUGUUUAUAAGAGCUUUGAUACAUGCAAAAUAUUCGAAAACAAUGUCCGAACAUAUAAUUUUUGUCCCGUAAUAUAGCAAAGAUCACGAAAAGGUCAGAAAAAAUAUAUUUCGGUCAAAAUUUGGAGUAGAAAAAAAGCCCUUCCUCAUUCAUUGGACAGCUCUCUUUGGGCUUUCCGAAAAGGUAUCACAUGCCAAGUUUGGCCUCACGGUCUAAACCUUAUAGACUCAUACAUUUUUCAUAAAAAAAAGAAGAGAAAAACAAAAAAAAAAAGAGUGAUUAAACACGAGGACUUUCCUGGAGGUCACCCAUCCUAGUACUACUCUCGCCCAAGCACGCUUAACUACGAAGUUCCGAUGGGAUCUGAUGCAUUAGUGCUGGUAUGAUCGCAUCUGUUACUACAUGCAAUGCAAUCGUAUCUAUUCUUUUUUGAAGAUUUUAUGAUUCAUUUACUGUGGGUCCCACCAGCUAUGUAGGAAUAACCUAUCUUAUUUAUAAAAGCUUUGAUACAUGCAAAAUAUUGGAAAACAAUGUCCGAACAUAUAAUGUUCGCCCCAAAAUAUAGCAAAGACCACAAAAAUGCCAUAAAAAGUACAUUAAGGUCAAAAUUUGGAGUAGGAAAAAAAUCAAUAGGAGAAUUCCAUUUUCCUUCCCUCAUUCAUCGGAGAGCUCUCUUUGGGCAUUCCAAAAAGGUAUCACAUGCCAAGUUUGGCCUCACGGUCUAAAAGUUAUAGAGUAAUACAUUUUUAACAAAAAAAAAAAAGAAAAAAACCGAAAACAAAGAGGGAUGCAACACGAAGACUUUCCUGGAGGUCACCCAUCCUAGUACUACUCUCACCCAAGCACACNUUAACUGUGGUGUUCUGAUAGGAUCAAGUGCAUUAGUGCUGGUAUGAUCGCAUCAGUUACUACAUGCAAUGCAAUCNNNNNNNNNNNNNNNNNNNNNNNNNNNNNNNNNNNNNNNNNNNNNNNNNNCUCCUCAGUCAUCUUUGAGCUCUCUUUGGGCUUUCCGAAAAGGUAUCACAUGCCCAGUUUGGCCUCACGGUCUAAAAGUUAUAAAGUCAUACAUUUUUAACAAAAAAAAAAGAGAAAAACCGAAAAAAAGAGGGAUGCAAUACGAGGACUUUCCACGAGGUCACCCAUCCUAGUACAACUCUCGCCAAAGCAUGCUUAACUGCGGAGUUUAGAUGGGAUCUGGUGCAUUAGUGCUGGUAUGAUCGCAUCUGUUACUACAUGCAAUGCAAUCGUAUCUAUUCUUAUUUAAAGACUUUAUCAUCCAUUUGCCAUGGGUCCCACCUGUAGGAAUACCCAAUCUUGUUUAUAAGAGCUUUGAUACAUGCAAAAUAUUCGAAAACAACGUCCGAACAUAUAAUUUUCGCCCCGUAAUAUAGCAAAGAUCACGAAAAGGCCCGAAAAAGUACAUUAAGGUCAAAAUUUGGAAUAGAAAAAAAAACCAAAAGAAGUAUUCCAUUGUCCUUUGUCAUUCAUCGAAGAGCUCUCUUUGGGCUUUCCGAAAAGGUAUCGCAAGCCAAGUUUGGCCUCACGGUUUAAAAGUUAUAAAGUCAUACAUUUUUAACAAAAAAAAAAAGAGAAAAAACCGAAAAAAAGAGGGAUGCAACACGAGGACUUUUCUGGAGGUCACCCAUCCUAGUACUACUCUCGCCCGAUCACCCUUAACUGCGUAGUUUUGAUGGGAUUCGAUGCAUUAGUGCUGGUAUGAUCGCAUCUGUUACUACAUGCAAUGUAAUCGUAUCUAUUCUUUUUUAAAGACUUUAUGAUCCAUUUGCCGUGGGUCCCACCAGCUAUGUAGGAAUACCCUAUCUUCUUUAUAAGAGCUUUGAUAUAUGCAAAAUAGUGGAAAACCAUGUCCGAACAUAUAAUUUUUCCCCUGUAAUAUAGCAAAGAUCAAGAAAAAGCCAAAAAAAGUAUAUUUAGGUCAAAAUUUGGAGUAGAAAAAAAAACAAUAGAAGAAUUCCAUUUUCCUUCCUCAGUCAUCGGAGAGCUCUCUUUCGGCUUUCCGAAAAGGUAUCAAAUGCCAAGUUUGGCCUCACGGUCUAAAAGUUAUAGAGUCAUACAUUUUUAACAAUACAAAGUAGAGAAAACCGGAAAAAAGAGGGAUGCAACAUGAGGACUUUCCGGGAGGUAAUCCAUCCUAGUACAACUCUUGCCCAAGCACCCUUAACUGCGGAGUUCUGAUGGAAUCCGGUGCAUUAGUGCUGGUAUGAUCGCAUCUGUUACUACAUGCAAUGUAAUCGUAUCUAUUUUUUUUUAAAGACUUUAUGAUCCAUUUGCCGUGGGUCCCACCAGCUAUGUAGGAAUACCCUAUCUUCUUUAUAAGAGCUUUGAUACAUGCAAAAUAUAUGAAAAAACGUUCGAACAUAUAAUUUUUCCCCCCGUAAUAUAGCAAAGAUCACGAAAAGGCCCGAAAAAGUACAUUUAGUUCAAAAUUUGGAGUAGAAAAACCCAAUAGAAGAAUUCCAUUUUCCUUCGUCAUUCAUCGGAGAGCUCUCUUUGGGCUUUCCGAAAAGGUAUCACAUGCCAAGUUUGGCCUCACGGUCUAAAAGUUAUAGAGUCAUACAUUUUUAACAAAACAAAAUUGAGAAAAACCGAAAAAAGAGGGAUGCAACACGAGGACUCUCCAGAAGGUAACCCAUCUUAGUACUACUUUCGCCCAAGCACCCUUAACUGCGGAGUUCUGAUAGGACCCGGUGCAUUAGUGCUGGUAUGAUCGCAUGUGUUACUACAUGCAAUGUAAUCGUAUAUAUUCAUUUUUAAAGACUUUAUGAUCCAUUUGCCGUGGGUCCUACCAGCUAUGUAGAAAUACCCUAUCUUCUUUAUAAGAGCUUUCAUUCACGCAAAAUAAUGGAAAACAAUGUCCGAAGAUAUAAUUCCCCCCCCCCCCCCCCCGUAAUAUAGCAAAGAUCACGAAAAGGCCCGAAAAAGUACAUUAAGUUCAAAAUUUGGAGUAGAAAAAAAAACAAUAGAAGAAUUCCAUUUUCCUUCCUCAGUCAUCGGAGAGCUCUCUUUGGGCUUUCCGAAAAGGUAUCACAUGCCAAGUUUGGCCUCACGGUCUAAAGGUUAUAGAGUCAUACAUUUUUAACAAAAAAAAAUAGAAAAACAGAAAAAAGAGGGAUGCAAUACGAGGACUUUCCAGGAGGUCACCCAUCCUAGUACAACUCUCGCCGAAGCACGCUUAACUACGGUGUUCAGAUGGAAUCUGGUGCAUUAGUGCUGGUAUGAUGUCAUUUGUUACUACAUGCAAUGCAAUCAUAUCUAUUCUUAUUUAAAGACUUUAUGAUCCAUUUGCCGUGGGUCCCACCUGUAGGAAUACCCUAUCUUGUUUAUAAAAGAUUUGAUACAUGCAAAAUACUCGAAAACAAUGUCCGAACAUAUAAUUUUCACCCCGUAAUAUAGCAAAGAUCACGAAAAGGCCCGAAAAAGUACAUUAAAGUCAAAAUUUGGAGUAGAAAAAAACCCAAUAGAAGUAUUCCAUUCUCCUUCGUCAUUCAUCGGAGAGCUCUCUUUAGGCUUUCCGAAAAGAUAUCACAUGCCAAGUUUGGCCUCACGGUUUAAAAGUUAUAGAGUCAUAGAUUUUUAACAAAACAAAAAGAGAAAAACCGAAAAAAAAUUGGGAUGCAACACGAGGACUUUCCUGGAGGUCACCCAUCCUAGUACUACUCUUGCCCAAGCACCCUUAACUGCGUAGUUCUGAUGGGAUCCGAUGCUUUAGGGCUGGUAUGAUCGCAUCUGUUACUACAUGCAAUGUAAUCGUAUCUAUUCUUUUUUAAAGACUUUAUGAUCCAUUUGCCGUGGGUCCCACCAGCUAUGUAGGAAUACCCUAUCUUCUUUAUAAGAGCUUUGAUAAAUGCAAAAUAUUGGAAAGCAAUGUCCGAACAUAUAAUUUCGCCCCCGUAAUAUAGCAAAGAUCACGAAAAAGCCCAAAAAAGUUCAUUUAGGUCAAAAUUUGAGCAGAAGAAAAAGAAAUAGAAGAAUUCCAUUUUCCUUCCUCAUUUAUUGGAGAGCUCUCUUUGGGCUUUCCGAAAAGGUAUCACAUGCCAAGUUUGGCCUCACGGUCUAAAAGUUAUAGAGUCAUACAGUUUUAACAAAAUGAAAUAGAGAAAAACCGAAAAAAAGAGGGAUGUAACACGAGGACUUUCCGGGAGGUAAUCUAUCCUACUACUACUCUCGGCCAAGCACCCUUAACUGCGGAGUUCUAAUGGGAUCCGGUGCAUUAGUGCUAGUAUGAUCGCAUGUGUUACUACAUGCAAUGUAAUCGUAUCUAUUCUUUUUUAAAGACUUUAUGAUCCAUUUGCCGUGGGUCCCACCAGCUAUGUAGGAAUACCCUAUCUUCUUUAUAAGAGCUUUGAUACAUGCAAAAUAUAUGAAAAAAACGUCCGAACAUAUAAUUUUCCCCCCGUAAUAUAGCAAAGAUCAUGAAAAGGCCCAAAAAAGUACAUUAAUGUCAAAAUUUGGCGUAGAAAAAAAACCAAUAGACAUAUUCCAUUGUCCUUCAUCAUUCAUUGAAGAGCUCUCUUUGGGCUUUCCGAAAAGGUAUCACAUGCCAAGUUUGGCCUCACGGUCUAAAAGUUAUAGAGUCAUACAUUUUUAACAAUACAAAAUAGAGAAAAACCGAAAAAAAGAGGGAUGCAACACGAGGACUUUCCGGGAGGUAAUCCAUCCUAGUACUACUCUCGCCCAAGCACCCUUAACUGCGGAGUUCUGAUGGGACCCGGUGCAUUAGUGCUGGUAUGAUCGCAUCUGUUACUAUAUGCAAUGUAAUCGUAUCUAUUCUUUUUUAAAGACUUUAUGAUCCAUUUGCCGUGGGUCCCACCAGCUAUGUAGGAAUACCCUAUCUUCUUUAUAAGAGCUUUGAUAUAUGCAAAAUAUUGGAACACCAUGUCCGAACAUAUAAUUUUUCCCGUGUAAUAUAGCAAAGAUCAAGAAAAAGACAAAAGAGUACAUUUAGGUCAAAAUUUGAGUAGAAAAAAACAAAUAGAAGAAUUCCAUUUUCCUUCCUCAUUCAGCUGAGAGCUCUCUUUGGGCUUUCCGAAAAGGUAUCAUAUGCCAAGUUUGGCCUCACAGUGUAAAAGUUAUAGAGUCUAACAUUUUUAACAAAACAAAAUAGAGAAAAACCAAAAAAAGAGGGAUGCAACACGAGGACUUUCUGGGAGGUCACCCAUCCUAGUACUACUCUCGCCCAAGCACCCUUAACUGCGGAGUUCUGAUGGGAUCCGGUGCAUUAGUGCAGGUAUGAUCGCAUGUGUUACUACAUGCAAUGUAAUCCUAUCUAUUCUUUCUUAAAGACUUUAUGAUCCAUUUGCCGUGAGUCCCACCAGCUAUGUAGGAAUACCCUAUCUUCUUUAUAAGAGCUUUGAUACAUGCAAAAUAUUGGAAAACAAUAUCCGAACAUAUAGUUUUCCCCCCGUAAUAUAGCAAAGAUCACGAAAAGGCCCGAAAAAGUACAUUUAGUUCAAAAUUGGGAGUAGAAAAAAAAACAAUAGAAGAAUUCCAUUUUACUUCCUCAGUCAUCGGAGAGCUCUCUUUGGGCUUUCCGAAAAGGUAUCACAUGCCCAGUUUGGCCUCACGGUCUAAAAGUUAUAAAGUCAUACAUUUUUAACAAAAACAAAAGAGAAAAACCGAAAAAAAAGAGGGAUGCAAUACGAGGACUUUCCACGAGGUCACCCAUCCUAGUACAACUCUCGCCGAAGCAUGCUUAACUGCGGAGUUUAGAUGGGAUCUGGUGCAUUAGUGCUGGUAUGAUCGCAUCUGUUACUACAUGCAAUGCAAUCGUAUCUAUUCUUAUUUAAAGACUUUAUCAUCCAUUUGCCAUGGGUCCCACCUGUAGGAAUACCCAAUCUUGUUUAUAAGAGCUUUGAUACAUGCAAAAUAUUCGAAAACAACGUCCGAACAUAUAAUUUUCGCCCCGUAAUAUAGCAAAGAUCACGAAAAGGCCCGAAAAAGUACAUUAAGGUCAAAAUUUGGAAUAGAAAAAAAAACCAAUAGAAGUAUUCCAUUGUCCUUUGUCAUUCAUCGAAGAGCUCUCUUUGGGCUUUCCGAAAAGGUAUCGCAAGCCAAGUUUGGCCUCACGGUUUAAAAGUUAUAAAGUCAUACAUUUUUAACAAAAAAAAAAAGAGAAAAAACCGAAAAAAAGAGGGAUGCAACACGAGGACUUUUCUGGAGGUCACCCAUCCUAAUACUUCUCUCGCCCGAUCACCCUUAACUACGUAGUUUUGAUGGGAUUCGAUGCAUUAGUGCUGGUAUGAUCGCAUCUGUUACUACAUGCAAUGUAAUCGUAUCUAUUCUUUUUUAAAGACUUUAUGAUCCAUUUGCCGUGGGUCCCACCAGCUAUGUAGGAAUACCCUAUCUUCUUUAUAAGAGCUUUGAUAUAUGCAAAAUAUUGGAAAACCAUGUCCGAACAUAUAAUUUUUCCCCUGUAAUAUAGCAAAGAUCAAGAAAAAGCCAAAAAAGUAUAUUUAGGUCAAAAUUUGGAGUAGAAAAAAAAACAAUAGAAGAAUUCCAUUUUCCUUCCUCAGUCAUCGGAGAGCUCUCUUUGGGCUUUCCGAAAAGGUAUCAAAUGCCAAGUUUGGCCUCACGGUCUAAAAGUUAUAGAGUCAUACAUUUUUAACAAUACAAAGUAGAGAAAACCGGAAAAAAGAGGGAUGCAACAUGAGGACUUUCCGGGAGGUAAUCCAUCCUAGUACAACUCUUGCCCAAGCACCCUUAACUGCGGAGUUCUGAUGGAAUCCGGUGCAUUAGUGCUGGUAUGAUCGCAUGUGUUACUACAUGCAAUGUAAUCGUAUCUAUUCUUUUUUAAAGACUUUAUGAUCCAUUUGCCGUGGGUCCCACCAGCUAUGUAGGAAUACCCUAUCUUCUUUAUAAGAGCUUUGAUACAUGCAAAAUAUAUGAAAAAACGUUCGAACAUAUAAUUUUUCCCCCCGUAAUAUAGCAAAGAUCACGAAAAGGCCCGAAAAAGUACAUUUAGUUCAAAAUUUGGAGUAGAAAAACCCAAUAGAAGAAUUCCAUUUUCCUUCGUCAUUCAUCGGAGAGCUCUCUUUGGGCUUUCCGAAAAGGUAUCACAUGCCAAGUUUGGCCUCACGGUCUAAACGUUAUAGAGUCAUACAUUUUUAACAAAACAAAAUUGAGAAAAACCGAAAAAAAGAGGGAUGCAACACGAGGACUCUCCAGAAGGUAACCCAUCUUAGUACUACUUUCGCCCAAGCACCCUUAACUGCGGAGUUCUGAUAGGACCCGGUGCAUUAGUGCUGGUAUGAUCGCAUGUGUUACUACAUGCAAUGUAAUCGUAUAUAUUCAUUUUUAAAGACUUUAUGAUCCAUUUGCCGUGGGUCCUACCAGCUAUGUAGAAAUACCCUAUCUUCUUUAUAAGAGCUUUCAUUCACGCAAAAUAAUGGAAAACAAUGUCCGAAGAUAUAAUUUCCCCCCCCCCCCGUAAUAUAGCAAAGAUCACGAAAAGGCCCGAAAAAGUACAUUAAGUUCAAAAUUUGGAGUAGAAAAAAAAACAAUAGAAGAAUUCCAUUUUCCUUCCUCAGUCAUCGGAGAGCUCUCUUUGGGCUUUCCGAAAAGGUAUCACAUGCCAAGCUUGGCCUCACGGUCUAAAGGUUAUAGAGUCAUACAUUUUUAACAAAAAAAAAAUAGAAAAACAGAAAAAAGAGGGAUGCAAUACGAGGACUUUCCAGGAGGUCACCCAUCCUAGUACAACUCUCGCCGAAGCACGCUUAACUACGGUGUUCAGAUGGAAUCUGGUGCAUUAGUGCUGGUAUGAUGUCAUUUGUUACUACAUGCAAUGCAAUCAUAUCUAUUCUUAUUUAAAGACUUUAUGAUCCAUUUGCCGUGGGUCCCACCUGUAGGAAUACCCUAUCUUGUUUAUAAAAGAUUUGAUACAUGCAAAAUACUCGAAAACAAUGUCCGAACAUAUAAUUUUCACCCCGUAAUAUAGCAAAGAUCACGAAAAGGCCCGAAAAAGUACAUUAAAGUCAAAAUUUGGAGUAGAAAAAAACCCAAUAGAAGUAUUCCAUUCUCCUUCGUCAUUCAUCGGAGAGCUCUCUUUAGGCUUUCCGAAAAGAUAUCACAUGCCAAGUUUGGCCUCACGGUUUAAAAGUUAUAGAGUCAUAGAUUUUUAACAAAACAAAAAGAGAAAAACCGAAAAAAAUUGGGAUGCAACACGAGGACUUUCCUGGAGGUCACCCAUCCUAGUACUACUCUCGCCCAAGCACCCUUAACUGCGUAGUUCUGAUGGGAUCCGAUGCUUUAGUGCUGGUAUGAUCGCAUCUGUUACUACAUGCAAUGUAAUCGUAUCUAUUCUUUUUUAAAGACUUUAUGAUCCAUUUGCCGUGGGUCCCACCAGCUAUGUAGGAAUACCCUAUCUUCUUUAUAAGAGCUUUGAUAAAUGCAAAAUAUUGGAAACCAAUGUCCGAACAUAUAAUUUCGCCCCCGUAAUAUAGCAAAGAUCACGAAAAAGCCCAAAAAAGUUCAUUUAGGUCAAAAUUUGAGCAGAAGAAAAAGAAAUAGAAGAAUUCCAUUUUCCUUCCUCAUUUAUUGGAGAGCUCUCUUUGGGCUUUCCGAAAAGGUAUCACAUGCCAAGUUUGGCCUCACGGUCUAAAAGUUAUAGAGUCAUACAUUUUUAACAAAAUGAAAUAGAGAAAAACCGAAAAAAAGAGGGAUGUAACACGAGGACUUUCCGGGAGGUAAUCUAUCCUACUACUACUCUCGGCCAAGCACCCUUAACUGCGGAGUUCUAAUGGGAUCCGGUGCAUUAGUGCUGGUAUGAUCGCAUGUGUUACUACAUGCAAUGUAAUCGUAUCUAUUCUUUUUUAAAGACUUUAUGAUCCAUUUGCCGUGGGUCCCACCAGCUAUGUAGGAAUACCCUAUUUUCUUUAUAAGAGCUUUGAUACAUGCAAAAUAUUGGAAAACAAUGUCCGAACAUAUUAUUUUCCCCCCGUAAUAUAGCAAAGAUCACGAAAAGGCCCGAAAAAGUACAUUUAGUUCAAAAUGUGGAGUAGAAAAAAAAACAAUAGAAGAAUUCCAUUUUCCUUCGUCAUUCAUCGGAGAGCUCUCUUUAGGCUUUCCGAAAAGGUAUCACAUGCCAAGUUUGGCCUCACGGUCUAAAAGUUAUAGAAUCAUACAUUUUUAACAAAACAAAAUAGAGAAAAACCGAAAAAGAGGGAUUUAACACGAGGACUUUCCGAGAGGUAACCCAUCCUAGUACUACUCUCGUCCAAGCACCCUUAACUGCGGAGUUCUGAUGGGAUCCGGUGUAUUAGUGCUGGUAUGAUCGCAUGUGUUACUACAUGCAAUGUAAUCGUAUCUAUUCUUUUUUAAAGACUUUAUAAUCCAUUUGCCGUGGGUCCCACCAGCUAUGUAGGAAUACCCUAUUUUCUUUAUAAGAGCUUUGAUACAUGCAAAAUAUUAGAAAACAAUGUCCGAACAUAUUAUUUUCCCCCCGUUAUAUAGCAAAGAUCACGAAAAGGCCCGAAAAAGUACAUUUAGUUCAAAAUUUGGAGUAGAAAAAAAAACAAUAGAAGAAUUCCAUUUUCCUUCGUCAUUCAUCGGAGAGCUCUCUUUAGGCUUUCCGAAAAGGUAUCACAUGCCAAGUUUGGCCUCACGGUCUAAAAGUUAUAGAGUCAUACAUUUUUAACAAAACAAAAUAGAGAAAAACCGAAAAAAGAGGGAUUUAACACGAGGACUUUCUGAGAGGUAACCCAUCCGAGUACUACACUCGCCCAAGCACCCUUAACUACGGAGUUCUGAUGGGAUACGGUGCAUUAGUGCUGGUUUGAUCGCAUCUGUUACUACAUGCAAUGUAAUCGUAUCUAUUCUUUUUUAAAGACUUUAUGAUCCAUUUGCCGUGGGUGCCACCAACUAUGUAGGAUUAUCCUAUAUUCUUUAUAAGAGCUUUGAUACAUGAAAAAUAUUCGAAAACAAUGUCCGAACAUAUAAUUUCCACCCGUAAUAUAGCAAAGAUCACGAAAAGGCCCAAAAAAGUACAUUAAGUUUAAAAUUUGGAGUAGAAAAAAAACCAAUAGAAGAAUUCCAUUUUCCUUCCUCAGUCAUCGGAGAGCUCUCUUUGGGCUUUCCGAAAAGGUAUCACAUGCCAAGUUUGACCUCACGGUCUAAAGGUUAUAGAGUCAUACAUUUUUAACAAAAAAAAAUAGAAAAACAGGAAAAAAGAGGGAUGCAAUACGAGGACUUUCCAGGAGGUCACCCAUCCUAGUACAACUCUCGCCGAAGCACGCUUAACUGCGGUGUUCAGAUGGGAUCUGGUGCAUUAGUGCUCGUAUGAUGGCAUUUGUUACUACAUGCAAUGCAAUCGUAUCUACUCUUAUUUAAAGACUUUAUGAUCCAUUUGCCGUGGGUGCCACCAACUAUGUAGGAUUAUCCUAUAUUCUUUAUAAGAGCUUUGAUACAUGCAAAAUAUUCGAAAGCAAUGUCCGAACAUAUAAUUUCCCCCCCGUAAUAUAGCAAAGAUCACGAAAAGGCCCGAAAAAGUACAUUUAGUUCAAAAUUUGGAGUAGAAAAAAAAACAAUAGAAGAAUUCCAUUUUCCUUCGUCAUUCAUCGGAGAGCUCUCUUUAGGCUUUCCGAAAAGGUAUCACAUGCCAAGUUUGGCCUCACGGUCUAAAAGUUAUAGAGUCAUACAUUUUCAACAAAACAAAAUAGAGAAACACCGAAAAAAGAGGGAUUUAACACGAGGACUUUCCGAGAGGUAACCCAUCCUAGUACUACUCUCGUCCAAGCACCCUUAACUGCGGAGUUCUGAUGGGAUCCGGUGCAUUAGUGCUGGUAUGAUCGCAUGUGUUACUACAUGCAAUGUAAUCAUAUCUAUUCUUUUUUUAAAGACUUUAUGAUUCAUUUGCCGUGGGUCCCACCAGCUAUGUAGGAAUACCCUAUUUUCUUUAUAACAGCUUUGAUACAUGCAAAAUAUUGGAAAACAAUGUCCGAACAUAUUAUUUUCCUCCCGUAAUAUAGCAAAGAUCACGAAAAGGCCCGAAAAAGUACAUUUAGUUCAAAAUUUGGAGUAGAAAAAAAAACAAUAGAAGAAUUCCAUUUUCCUUCGUCAUUCAUCGGAGAGCUCUCUUUAGGCUUUCCGAAAAGGUAUCACAUGCCAAGUUUGGCCUCACGGUCUAAAAGUAUAGAGUCAUACAUUUUUAAAAAAACAAAAUAGAGAAAAACCGAAAAAAGAGGGAUUUAACACGAGGACUUUCCGAGAGGUAACCCAUCCUAGUACUACUCUCGUCCAAGCACCCUUAACUGCGGAGUUCUAAUGGGAUCUGGUGCAUUAGUGCUGGUAUGAUCGCAUGUGUUACUACAUGCAAUGUAAUCGUAUCUAUUCUUUUUUAAAGACUUUAUGAUCCAUUUGCCGUGGGUCCCACCAGCUAUGUAGGAAUACCCUAUUUUCUUUAUAAGAGCUUUGAUACAUGCAAAAUAUUGGAAAACAAUGUCCGAACAUAUUAUUUUCCCCCCGUUAUAUAGCAAAGAUCACGAAAAGGCCCGAAAAAGUACAUUUAGUUCAAAAUUUGGAGUAGAAAGAAAAACAAUAGAAGAAUUCCAUUUUCCUUCGUCAUUCAUCUGAGAGCUCUCUUUAGGCUUUCCGAAAAGGUAUCACAUGCCAAGUUUGGCCUCACGGUCUAAAAGUUAUAGAGUCAUACAUUUUUAACAAAACAAAAUAGAGAAAAACCGAAAAAGAGGGAUUUAAGACGAGGACUUUCUGAGAGGUAACCCAUCCGAGUACUACACUCGCCCAAGCACCCUUAACUACGGAGUUCUGAUGGGAUACGGUGCAUUAGUGCUGGUUUGAUCGCAUGUGUUACUACAUGCAAUGUAAUCGUAUCUAUUCUUUUUUAAAGACUUUAUGAUCCAUUUGCCGUGGGUGCCACCAACUAUGUAGGAUUAUCCUAUAUUCUUUAUAAGAUCUUUGAUACUUGCAAAAUAUUCGAAAAAAAUGUCCGAACAUAUAAUUUCCCCCCCGUAAUAUAGCAAAGAUCACGAAAAGGCCCAAAAAAGUACAUUAAGUUUAAAAUUUGGAGUAGAAAAAAAACCAAUAGAAGAAUUCCAUUUUCCUUCCUCAGUCAUCGGAGAGCUCUCUUUGGGCUUUCCGAAAAGUUAUCACAUGCCAAGUUUGACCUCACGGUCUAAAGGUUAUAGAGUCAUACAUUUUUAACAAAAAAAAAUAGAAAAACAGGAAAAAAGAGGGAUGCAAUACGAGGACUUUCCAGCAGGUCACCCAUCCUAGUACAACUCUCGCCAAAGCACGCUUAACUGCGGUGUUCAGAUGGGAUCUGGUGCAUUAGUGCUUGUAUGAUGGCAUUUGUUACUACAUGCAAUGCAAUCGUAUCGAUUCUUAUUUAAAGACUUUAUGAUCCAUUUGUCGUGGGUGCCACCUGUAGGAAUACCCUAUCUUGUUUAUAAGAGAUUUGAUACAUGCAAAAUAUUCGAAAACAAUGUCCGAACAUAUAAUUUUUGCCCCGUAAUAUAGAAAAGAUCACAAAAAAGUCCAAAAAAGUACAUUUAGGUCAAAAUUUGAGCAGAAAAAAAAGAAAUAGAAGAAUUCCAUUUUCCUUCGUCAUUCAUCGGAGAGCUCUCUUUAGGCUUUCCGAAAAGAUAUCACAUGCCAAGUUUGGCCUCACGGUCUAAAAGUUAUAGAGUCAUACAUUUUUCACAAAACAAAAAGAGAAAAACCGAAAAAAAUAGGGAUGCAACACGAGGACUUUCCUGGAGGUCACCCAUCCUAGUACUAAUCUCGCCCAAGCACCCUUAACUGCGUAGUUCUGAUGGGAUCCGAUGCAUUAGUCCUGGUAUGAUCGCAUCUGUUACUAUAUGCAAUAUAAUCGUAUCUAUUCUUUUUUAAAGACUUUAUGAUCCAUUUGCCGUGGGUCCCACCAGCUAUGUAGGAUACCCUAUCUUCAUAAUAAGAGCUUUGAUAAAUGCAAAAUAUUGGAAAACAAUGUCCGAACAUAUAAUUUCCCCCCCCCCCCCCGUAAUAUAGCAAAGAUCACGAAAAAGCCCAAAAAAGUACAUUUAGGUCAAAAUUUGAGUAGAAAAAAAAACAAAUAGAGGAAUUCCAUUUUCCGUCCUCAUUCAUCGGAGAGCUCUCUUUCGGCUUUCCGAAAAGGUAUCACAUGCCAAGUUUGGCCUCACGGUCUAAAAGUUAUAGAGUCAUACAUUUUUAACAAAACAAAAUAGAGAAAAACCGAAAAAAAGAAGGAUGCAACACGAGGACUUCCCGGGAGGUCACCCAUCCUAGUACUACUCUCGCCUAAGCACCCUUAACUGCGGAGUUCUGAUGGGAUCAGGUGCAUUAGUGCUGGUAUGAUCGCAUGUGGUACUACAUGCAAUGUAAUCGUAUCUAUUCCUUUUGAAAGACUUUAUGAUCCAUUUGCCGUGGGUCCCACCAGCUAUGUAGGAAUACCCUAUCUUCUUUAUAAGAGCUUUGAUACAUGCAAAAUAUUUGAAAACAAUGUCCGAACAUAUAAUUUUCCCCCCGUUAUAUAGCAAAGAUCACGAAAAGGCCCAAAAAAGUACAAUUAGUUCAAAAUUUGGAGUAGAAAAAAAAACAAUAGAAGAAUUCCAUUUUCCUUCCUCAGUCAUCGGAGAGCUCUCUUUGGGCUUUCCAAAAAGGUAUCACAUGCCAAGUUUGGCCUCACAGUCUAAAAGUUAUAGAGUCAUACAUUUUUAACAAAACAAAAUAGAGAAAAACCGAAAAAAAGAGGGAUGCAACACGAGGACUUUCCGGGAGGUAACCCAUCCUAGUACUACUCUCGCCCAAGCACCCUUAACUGCGGAGUUUUGAUGGGAUCCGGUGCAUUAGUGUUGGUAUGAUCGCAUGUGUUACUACAUGCAAUGUAAUCGUAUCUAUUCCUUUUGAAAGACUUUAUGAUCCAUUUGCCGUGGGUCCCACCAGCUAUGUAGGAAUACCCUAUCUUCUUUAUAAGAGCUUUGAUACAUACAAAAUAUUGGAUCACAAUGUCAUAACAUAUAAUUUUCCCCCCUUAAUAUAGCAAAGAUCACGAAAAGGCCCGAAAAAAUACAUUUAGUUCAAAAUUUGGAGUAGAAAAAAAAAAUAUAAGAAUUCCAUUUUCCUUCCUCUGUUAUCGGAGAGCUCUCUUUGGGCUUUCCGAAAAGGUAUCACAUGCCAAGUUUGGCCUCACGGUCUAAAAGAUAUAAAGUCAUACAUUAUUAACAAAACAAAAUAGAGAAAAACCGAAAAAAAGAAGGAUGCAACACGAGGACUUUCCGGGAGGUAAUCUAUCCUAGUACUACUCUCGCCCAAGCACCCUUAACUGCGGAGUUCUGAUGGGAUCCGGUGCAUUAGUGUUGGUAUGAUCGCAUGUGUUACUACAUGCAAUGUAACCGUAUCUAUUCUUUUUUAAAGACUUUAUGAUCCAUUUGCCGUGGGUCCCACCAGCUAUGUAGGAAUAUUCUAUCUUCUUUAUAAGAGCUUUGAUACAUGCAAAAUAUUGGAAAACAACGUCCGAACAUAUAAUUUCCCCCCCCCCCCGUAAUAUAGCAAAAAUCACGAAAAGGCCCGAAAAAGUACAUUUAGUUCAAAAUUUGCAGUAGAAAAAAAAACAAUAGAAGAAUUUCAUUUUCCUUCCUCAGUCAUCGGAGAGCUCUCUUUGGGCUUUCCAAAAAGGUAUCACAUGCCAAGUUUGGCCUCACAGUCUAAAAGUUAUAGAGUCAUACAUUUUUAACAAAACAAAAUAGAGAAAAACCGAAAAAAGAGGGAUGCAACACGAGGACUUUCCCGGAGGUAAUCUAUCCUAGUACUACUCUCGCCCAAGCACCCUUAACUGCGGAGUUCUGAUGGGAUCCGGUGCAGUAGUGCUGGUAUGAUCGCAUGUGUUACUACAUGCAAUGUAAUCGUAUCUAUUCUUUUUUAAAGACUUUAUGAUCCAUUUGCCGUGAGUCCCACCAGCUAUGUAGGAAUAUUCUAUCUUCUUUAUAAGAGCUUUGAUACAUGCAAAAUACUGGAAAACAAUGUCCGAACAUAUAAUUUUCCCCACGUAAUAUAGCAAAGAUCACGAAAAGGCCCGAAAAAGUACAUUUAGUUCAAAAUUUGGAGUAGAAAAAAAAACAAUAGAAGAAUUUCAUUUUCCUUCCCUAGUCAUCGGAGAGCUCUCUUUGGGCUUUCCAAAAAGGUAUCACAUGCCAAGUUUGGCCUCACAGUCUAAAAGUUAUAGAGUCAUACAUUUUUAACAAAACAAAAUAGAGAAAAACCGAAAAAAAAGAGGGAUGCAACACGAGGACUUUCUGGGAGGUAAUCUAUCCUAGUACUACUCUCGCCCAAGCACCCUUAACUGCGGAGUUCUGAUGGGAUCCGGUGCAGUAGUGCUGGUAUGAUCGCAUGUGUUACUACAUGCAAUGUAAUCGUAUCUAUUCUUUUUUAAAGACUUUAUGAUCCAUUUGCCGUGAGUCCCACCAGCUAUGUAGGAAUAUUCUAUCUUCUUUAUAAGAGCUUUGAUACAUGCAAAAUACUGGAAAACAAUGUCCGAACAUAUAAUUUUCCCCCCGUAAUAUAGCAAAGAUCACGAAAAGGCCCAGAAAAGUACAUUUAGUUCAAAAUUUGGAGUAGAAAAAAAAACAAUAGAAGAAUUCCAUUUUCCUUCCUCAAUCAUCGGAGAGCUCUCUUUGGGCUUUCCGAAAAGGUAUCUCAUGCCAAGUUUGGCCUCACGAACUAAAAGUUAUAGAGUCAUACAUUUUUAACAAAACAAAAUAGAGAAAAACCGAAAAAAGAGGGAUGCAACACAAGGACUUUCCGGGAGGUCACCCAUCCUAGUACUACUCUCGCCCAAGCACCCUUAACUGCGGAGUUCUGAUGGGAUCCAGUGCAUUAGUGCUGGUAUGAUCGCAUGUGUUACUACAUGCAAUGUAAUCGUAUCUAUUCUUUUUUAAAGAUUUUAUGAUCCAUUUGCCGUGGGUCCCACCAGCUAUGUAGGAAUACCCUAUCUUCUUUAUAAGAGCUUUGAUACAUACAAAAUAUUGGAUCACAAUGUCAGAACAUAUAAUUUUCCCCCCUUAAUAUAGCAAAGUUCACUAAAAGGCCCGAAAAAAUACAUUUAGUUCAAAAUUUGGAGUAGAAAAAAAAACAAUAGAAGAAUUUCAUUUUCCUUCCUCAGUCAUCGGAGAGCUCUCUUUGGGCUUUCCAAAAAGGUAUCACAUGCCAAGUUUGGCCUCACAGUCUAAAAGUUAUAGAGUCAUACAUUUUUAACAAAACAAAAUAGAGAAAAACCGAAAAAAGAGGGAUGCAACACGAGGACUUUCCCGGAGGUAAUCUAUCCUAGUACUACUCUCGCCCAAGCACCCUUAACUGCGGAGUUCUGAUGGGAUCCGGUGCAGUAGUGCUGGUAUGAUCGCAUGUGUUACUACAUGCAAUGUAAUCGUAUCUAUUCUUUUUUAAAGACUUUAUGAUCCAUUUGCCGUGAGUCCCACCAGCUAUGUAGGAAUAUUCUAUCUUCUUUAUAAGAGCUUUGAUACAUGCAAAAUACUGGAAAACAAUGUCCGAACAUAUAAUUUUCCCCACGUAAUAUAGCAAAGAUCACGAAAAGGCCCGAAAAAGUACAUUUAGUUCAAAAUUUGGAGUAGAAAAAAAAACAAUAGAAGAAUUUCAUUUUCCUUCCUCAGUCAUCGGAGAGCUCUCUUUGGGCUUUCCAAAAAGGUAUCACAUGCCAAGUUUGGCCUCACAGUCUAAAAGUUAUAGAGUCAUACAUUUUUAACAAAACAAAAUAGAGAAAAACCGAAAAAAAAGAGGGAUGCAACACGAGGACUUUCUGGGAGGUAAUCUAUCCUAGUACUACUCUCGCCCAAGCACCCUUAACUGCGGAGUUCUGAUGGGAUCCGGUGCAGUAGUGCUGGUAUGAUCGCAUGUGUUACUACAUGCAAUGUAAUCGUAUCUAUUCUUUUUUAAAGACUUUAUGAUCCAUUUGCCGUGAGUCCCACCAGCUAUGUAGGAAUAUUCUAUCUUCUUUAUAAGAUCUUUGAUACAUGCAAAAUACUGGAAAACAAUGUCCGAACAUAUAAUUUUCCCCCCGUAAUAUAGCAAAGAUCACGAAAAGGCCCAGAAAAGUACAUUUAGUUCAAAAUUUGGAGUAGAAAAAAAAACAAUAGAAGAAUUCCAUUUUCCUUCCUCAAUCAUCGGAGAGCUCUCUUUGGGCUUUCCGAAAAGGUAUCUCAUGCCAAGUUUGGCCUCACGAACUAAAAGUUAUAGAGUCAUACAUUUUUAACAAAACAAAAUAGAGAAAAACCGAAAAAAGAGGGAUGCAACACAAGGACUUUCCGGGAGGUCACCCAUCCUAGUACUACUCUCGCCCAAGCACCCUUAACUGCGGAGUUCUGAUGGGAUCCAGUGCAUUAGUGCUGGUAUGAUCGCAUGUGUUACUACAUGCAAUGUAAUCGUAUCUAUUCUUUUUUAAAGAUUUUAUGAUCCAUUUGCCGUGGGUCCCACCAGCUAUGUAGGAAUACCCUAUCUUCUUUAUAAGAGCUUUGAUACAUACAAAAUAUUGGAUCACAAUGUCAGAACAUAUAAUUUUCCCCCCUUAAUAUAGCAAAGUUCACUAAAAGGCCCGAAAAAAUACAUUUAGUUCAAAAUUUGGAGUAGAAAAAAAAACAAUAGAAGAAUUUCAUUUUCCUUCCUCAGUCAUCGGAGAGCUCUCUUUGGGCUUUCCAAAAAGGUAUCACAUGCCAAGUUUGGCCUCACAGUCUAAAAGUUAUAGAGUCAUACAUUUUUAACAAAACAAAAUAGAGAAAAACCGAAAAAAAGAGGGAUGCAACACGAGGACUUUCUGGGAGGUAAUCUAUCCUAGUACUACUCUCGCCCAAGCACCCUUAACUGCGGAGUUCUGAUGGGAUCCGGUGCAGUAGUGCUGGUAUGAUCGCAUGUGUUACUACAUGCAAUGUAAUCGUAUCUAUUCUUUUUUAAAGACUUUAUGAUCCAUUUGCCGUGAGUCCCACCAGCUAUGUAGGAAUAUUCUAUCUUCUUUAUAAGAGCUUUGAUACAUGCAAAAUACUGGAAAACAAUGUCCGAACAUAUAAUUUUCCCCCCGUAAUAUAGCAAAGAUCACGAAAAGGCCCGAAAAAGUACAUUUAGUUCAAAAUUUGGAGUAGAAAAAAAAACAAUAGAAGAAUUCCAUUUUCCUUCCUCAAUCAUCGGAGAGCUCUCUUUGGGCUUUCCGAAAAGGUAUCUCAUGCCAAGUUUGGCCUCACGAACUAAAAGUUAUAGAGUCAUACAUUUUUAACAAAACAAAAUAGAGAAAAACCGAAAAAAGAGGGAUGCAACACAAGGACUUUCCGGGAGGUCACCCAUCCUAGUACUACUCUCGCCCAAGCACCCUUAACUGCGGAGUUCUGAUGGGAUCCAGUGCAUUAGUGCUGGUAUGAUCGCAUGUGUUACUACAUGCAAUGUAAUCGUAUCUAUUCUUUUUUAAAGAUUUUAUGAUCCAUUUGCCGUGGGUCCCACCAGCUAUGUAGGAAUACCCUAUCUUCUUUAUAAGAGCUUUGAUACAUACAAAAUAUUGGAUCACAAUGUCAGAACAUAUAAUUUUCCCCCCUUAAUAUAGCAAAGUUCACUAAAAGGCCCGAAAAAAUACAUUUAGUUCAAAAUUUGGAGUAGAAAAAAAAACAAUAGAAGAAUUUCAUUUUCCUUCCUCAGUCAUCGGAGAGCUCUCUUUGGGCUUUCCAAAAAGGUAUCACAUGCCAAGUUUGGCCUCACAGUCUAAAAGUUAUAGAGUCAUACAUUUUUAACAAAACAAAAUAGAGAAAAACCGAAAAAAAGAGGGAUGCAACACGAGGACUUUCUGGGAGGUAAUCUAUCCUAGUACUACUCUCGCCCAAGCACCCUUAACUGCGGAGUUCUGAUGGGAUCCGGUGCAGUAGUGCUGGUAUGAUCGCAUGUGUUACUACAUGCAAUGUAAUCGUAUCUAUUCUUUUUUAAAGACUUUAUGAUCCAUUUGCCGUGAGUCCCACCAGCUAUGUAGGAAUAUUCUAUCUUCUUUAUAAGAGCUUUGAUACAUGCAAAAUACUGGAAAACAAUGUCCGAACAUAUAAUUUUCCCCCCGUAAUAUAGCAAAGAUCACGAAAAGGCCCGAAAAAGUACAUUUAGUUCAAAAUUUGGAGUAGAAAAAAAAACAAUAGAAGAAUUCCAUUUUCCUUCCUCAAUCAUCGGAGAGCUCUCUUUGGGCUUUCCGAAAAGGUAUCUCAUGCCAAGUUUGGCCUCACGAACUAAAAGUUAUAGAGUCAUACAUUUUUAACAAAACAAAAUAGAGAAAAACCGAAAAAAGAGGGAUGCAACACAAGGACUUUCCGGGAGGUCACCCAUCCUAGUACUACUCUCGCCCAAGCACCCUUAACUGCGGAGUUCUGAUGGGAUCCGGUGCAUUAGUGCUGGUAUGAUCGCCCGUGUUACUACAUGCAAUGCAAUCGUAUCUAUUCUUUUUUAAAGAUUUUAUGAUCCAUUUGCCGUGGGUCCCACCAGCUAUGUAGGAAUACCCUAUCUUCUUUAUAAGAGGUUUGAUACAUACAAAAUAUUGGAUCACAAUGUCAGAACAUAUAAUUUUCCCCCCUUAAUAUAGCAAAGAUCACUAAAAGGCCCGAAAAAAUACAUUUAGUUCAAAAUUUGGAGUAGAAAAAAAAACAAUAGAAGAAUUCCAUUUUCCUUCCUCAGUUAUCGGAGAACUCUCUUUGGGCUUUCCGAAAAGGUAUCACAUGCCAAGUUUGGCCUCACGGUCUAAAAGAUAUAGAGUCAUACAUUAUUAACAAAACAAAAUAGAGAAAAACCGAAAAAAAGAAGGAUGCAACACGAGGACUUUGCGGGAGGUAAUCUAUCCUAGUACUACUCUCGCCCAAGCACCCUUAACUGCGGAGUUCUGAUGGGAUCCGGUGCAUUAGUGCUGGUAUGAUCGCAUGUGUUACUACAUGCAAUGUAAUCGUAUCUAUUCUUUUUUAAAGACUUUAUGAUCCAUUUGCCGUGGGUCCNNNNNNNNNNNNNNNNNNNNNNNNNNNNNNNNNNNNNNNNNNNNNNNNNNACAUGCCAAGUUUGGCCUUACGGUCUAAAAGUUAUAGAGUAAUACANUUUUUAACAAAAAAAAAAGAAAAAAACCGAAAACAAAGAGGGAUGCAACACGAAGACUUUCCUGGAGGUCACCCAUCCUAGUACUACUCUCGCCCAAGCACACUUAACUGCGGUGUUCUGAUAGGAUCAAGUGCAUUAGUGCUGGUAUGAUCGCAUCAGUUACUACAUGCAAUGCAAUCAUAUAUAUUCUUUUUUGAAGACUUUAUGAUCCAUUUGCCGUAGGUCCCACCAGCUAUGUAGGAAUACCCUAUCUCGUUUAUAAGAGCUUUGAUACAUGCAAAAUAUUCGAAAACAAUGUCCGAACAUAUAAUUUUUGUCCCGUAAUAUAGCAAAGAUCGCGAAAAGGCCAUAAAAAAUACAUUUCGGUCAAAAUUUGGAGUAGAAAAAAAACCCUUCCUCAUUCAUUGGACAGCUCUCUUUGGGCUUUCCGAAAAGGUAUCACAUGCCAAGUUUGGCCUCACGGUCUAAACCUUAUAGACUCAUACAUUUUUCACAAAAAAAAGAAGAGAAAAACCAAAAAAAAGAGUGAUUAAACACGAGGACUUUCCUGGAGGUCACCCAUCCUAGUACUACUCUCGCCCAAGCACGCUUAACUGCGAAGUUCUGAUGGGAUCUGGUGCAUUAGUGCUGGUAUGAUCGCAUCUGUUACUACAUGCAAUGCAAUCGUAUUUAUUCUUUUUUGAAGAUUUUAUGAUUCAUUUACCGUGGGUCCCACCAGCUAUGUAGGAAUAACCUAUCUUAUUUAUAAAAGCUUUGAUACAUGCAAAAUAUUAGAAAACAAUGUCCGAACAUAUAAUGUUCGCCCCAAAAUAUAGCAAAGACCACAAAAAUGCCAUAAAAAGUACAUUAAGGUCAAAAUUUGGAGUAGGAAAAAAAUCAAUAGGAGAAUUCCAUUUUCCUUCCUUCAUUCAUCGGAGAGCUCUCUUUGGGCAUUCCAAAAAGGUAUCACAUGCCAAGUUUGGCCUCACGGUCUAAAAGUUAUAGAGUAAUACAUUUUUAACAAAAAAAAAAGAAAAAAACCGAAAACAAAGAGGGAUGCAACACGAAGACUUUCCUGGAGGUCACCCAUCCUAGUACUACUCUCGCCCAAGCACACUUAACUGCGGUGUUCUGAUAGGAUCAAGUGCAUUAGUGCUGGUAUGAUCGCAUCAGUUACUACAUGCAAUGCAAUCAUAUAUAUUCUUUUUUGAAGACUUUAUGAUCCAUUUGCCGUAGGUCCCACCAGCUAUGUAGGAAUACCCUAUCUCGUUUAUAAGAGCUUUGAUACAUGCAAAAUAUUCGAAAACAAUGUCCGAACAUAUAAUUUUUGUCCCGUAAUAUAGCAAAGAUCACGAAAAGGCCAGAAAAAAUACAUUUCGGUCAAAAUUUGGAGUAGAAAAAAAACCCUUCCUCAUUCAUUGGACAGCUCUUUUUGGGCUUUCCGAAAAGGUAUCACAUGCCAAGUUUGGCCUCACGGUCUAAACCUUAUAGACUCAUACAUUUUUCACAAAAAAAAGAAGAGAAAAACCAAAAAAAAGAGUGAUUAAACACGAGGACUUUCCUGGAGGUCACCCAUCCUAGUACUACUCUCGCCCAAGCACGCUUAACUGCGAAGUUCUGAUGGGAUCUGGUGCAUUAGUGCUGGUAUGAUCGCAUCUGUUACUACAUGCAAUGCAAUCGUAUCUAUUCUUUUUUGAAGAUUUUAUGAUUCAUUUACCGUGGGUCCCACCAGCUAUGUAGGAAUAACCUAUCUUAUUUAUAAAAGCUUUGAUACAUGCAAAAUAUUCGAAAACAAUGUCCGAACAUAUAAUGUUCGCCCCAAAAUAUAGCAAAGACCACAAAAAUGCCAUAAAAAGUACAUUAAGGUCAAAAUUUGGAGUAGGAAAAAAAUCAAUAGGAGAAUUCCAUUUUCCUUCCCUCAUUCAUCGGAGAGCUCUCUUUGGGCAUUCCAAAAAGGUAUCACAUGCCAAGUUUGGCCUCACGGUCUAAAAGUUAUAGAGUAAUACAUUUUUAACAAAAACAAAAGAAAAAAACCGAAAACAAAGAGGGAUGCAACACGAAGACUUUCCUGGAGGUCACCCAUCCUAGUACUACUCUCGCCCAAGUACACUUAACUGCGGUGUUCUGAUAGGAUCAAGUGCAUUAGUGCUGGUAUGAUCGCAUCAGUUACUACAUGCAAUGCAAUCAUAUAUAUUCUUUUUUGAAGACUUUAUGAUCCAUUUGCCGUAGGUCCCACCAGCUAUGUAGGAAUACCCUAUCUUGUUUAUAAGAGCUUUCAUACAUGCAAAAUAUUCAAAAACAAUGUCCGAACAUAUAAUUUUUGUCCCGUAAUAUAGCAAAGAUCACGAAAAGGCCAGAAAAAAUACAUUUCGGUCAAAAUUUGGAGUAGAAAAAAAACCCUUCCUCAUUCAUUGGACAGCUCUCUUUGGGCUUUCUGAAAAGGUAUCACAUGCCAAGUUUGGCCUCACGGUCUAAACCUUAUAGACUCAUACAUUUUUCACAAAAAAAAGAAGAGAAAAACCAAAAAAAAGAGUGAUUAAACACGAGGACUUUCCUGGAGGUCACCCAUCCUAGUACUACUCUCGCCCAAGCACGCUUCACUGCGAAGUUCUGAUGGGAUCUGGUGCAUUAGUGCUGGUAUGAUCGCAUCUGUUACUACAUGCAAUGCAAUCGUAUCUAUUCUUUUUUGAAGAUUUUAUGAUUCAUUUACCGUGGGUCCCACCAGAUAGGAAUAACCUAUCUUAUUUAUAAAAGCUUUGAUACAUGCAAAAUAUUCGAAAACAAUGUCCGAACAUAUAAUGUUCGCCCCAAAAUAUAGCAAAGACCACAAAAAUGCAAUAAAAAGUACAUUAAGGUCAAAAUUUGGAGUAGGAAAAAAAUCAAUAGGAGAAUUCCAUUUUCCUUCCCUCAUUUAUCGGAGAGCUCUCUUUGGGCAUUCCAAAAAGGUAUCACAUGCCAAGUUUGGCCUCACGGUCUAAAAGUUAUAGAGUAAUACAUUUUUAACAAAACAAAAAAGAAAAAAACCGAAAACAAAGAGGGAUGCAACACGAAGACUUUCCUGGAGGUCACCCAUCCUAGUACUACUCUCGCCCAAGCACACUUAACUGCGGUGUUCUGAUAGGAUCAAGUGCAUUAGUGCUGGUAUGAUCGCAUCAGUUACUACAUGCAAUGCAAUCAUAUAUAUUCUUUUUUGAAGACUUUAUGAUCCAUUUGCCGUAGGUCCCACCAGCUAUGUAGGAAUACCCUAUCUUGUUUAUAAGAGCUUUGAUACAUGCAAAAUAUACGAAAACAAUGUCCGAACAUAUAAUUUUUGUCCCGUAAUAUAGCAAAAAGGCCAGAAAAAAUACAUUUCGGUCAAAAUUUGGAGUAGAAAAAAAACCCUUCCUCAUUCAUUGGACAGCUCUCUUUGGGCUUUCCGAAAAGGUAUCACAUGCCAAGUUUGGCCUCACGGUCUAAACCUUAUAGGCUCAUACAUUUUUCACAAAAAAAAGAAAAGAAAAACCAAAAAAAAGAGUGAUUAAACACGAGGACUUUCCGGGAGGUCACCCAUCCUAGUACUACUCUCGCCGAAGCACGCUUAACUGCGAAGUUCUGAUGGGAUCUGGUGCAUUAGUGCUGGUAUGAUCGCAUCUGUUACUACAUGCAAUGCAAUCGUAUCUAUUCUUUUUUGAAGAUUUUAUGAUUCAUUUACCGUGGGUCCCACCAGCUAUGUAGGAAUAACCUAUCUUAUUUAUAAAAGCUUUGAUACAUGCAAAAUAUUCGAAAACAAUGUCCGAACAUAUAAUGUUCGCCCCAAAAUAUAGCAAAGACCACAAAAAUGCCAUAAAAAGUACAUUAAGGUCAAAAUUUGGAGUAGGAAAAAAAUCAAUAGGAGAAUUCCAUUUUCCUUCCCUCAUUCAUCGGAGAGCUCUCUUUGGGCAUUCCAAAAAGGUAUCACAUGCCAAGUUUGGCCUCACGGUCUAANAGUUAUAGAGUAAUACAUUUUUAACAAAAAAAAAAGAAAAAAACCGAAAACAAAGAGGGAUGCAACACGAAGACUUUCCUGGAGGUCACCCAUCCUAGUACUACUCUCGCCCAAGUACACUUAACUGCGGUGUUCUGAUAGGAUCAAGUGCAUUAGUGCUGGUAUGAUCGCAUCAGUUACUACAUGCAAUGCAAUCAUAUAUAUUCUUUUUUGAAGACUUUAUGAUCCAUUUGCCGUAGGUCCCACCAGCUAUGUAGGAAUACCCUAUCUUGUUUAUAAGAGCUUUGAUACAUGCAAAAUAUUCGAAAACAAUGUCCGAACAUAUAAUUUUUGUCCCGUAAUAUAGCAAAGAUCACGAAAAGGCCAGAAAAAAUACAUUUCGGUCAAAAUUUGGAGUAGAAAAAAAGCCCUUCCUCAUUCAUUGGACAGCUCUCUUUGGGCUUUCCGAAAAGGUAUCACAUGCCAAGUUUGGCCUCACGGUCUAAACCUUAUAGACUCAUACAUUUUUCACAAAAAAAAGAAGAGAAAAACCAAAAAAAAGAGUGAUUAAACACGAGGAUUUUCCUGGAGGUCACCCAUCCUAGUACUACUCUCGCCCAAGCACGCUUAACUGCGAANNNNNNNNNNNNNNNNNNNNNNNNNNNNNNNNNNNNNNNNNNNNNNNNNNGUGUUACUACAUGCAAUGUAAUCGUAUCUAUUCUUUUUUAAAGACUUUAUGAUCCAUUUGCCGUGGGUCCCACCAGCUAUGUAGGAAUAUCCUAUAUUCUUUAUAAGAGCUUUGAUACAUGCAAAAUAUUCGAAAACAAUGUCCGAACAUAUAAUUUCCCCCCCGUAAUAUAGCAAAGAUCACGAAAAGGCCCAAAAAAGUACAUUAAGUUUAAAAUUUGGAGUAGAAAAAAAACCAAUAGAAAAAUUCCAUUUUCCUUCCUCAGUCAUCGAAGAGCUCUCUUUGGGCUUUCUGAAAAGGUAUCACAUGCCAAGUUUGGCCUCACGGUCUAAAAGUUAUAGAGUCAUACAUUUUUAACAAAACAAAAAGAGAAAAACCGAAAAAAACAGGGAUGCAACACGAGGACUUUCCUGGAGGUCUCCCAUCCUAGUACUACUCUCGCCCAAGCACCCUUAACUGCGUAGUUCUGAUGGGAUCCGAUGCAUUAGUGCUGGUAUGAUCGCAUCUGUUACUACAUGCAAUGUAAUCGUAUCUAUUCUUUUUUAAAGACNUUUAUGAUCCAUUUGCCGUGGGUCCCACCAGCUAUGUAGGAAUACCCUAUCUUCUUAAUAAGAGCCUUGAUAAAUGCAAAAUAUUGGAAAACAAUGUCCGAACAUAUAAUGCCCCCCCCCCCGUAAUAUAGCAAAGAUCACGAAAAUGCCCAAAAAAGUACAUUUAGGUCAAAAUUUGAGUAGAAAAAAAAACAAUAGAAGAAUUCCAUUUUCCUUCCUCAUUUAUCGGAGAGCUCUCUUUGGGCUUUCCGAAAAGGUAUCACAUGACAAGUUUGGCCUCACGGUCUAAAAGAUAUAGAGUCAUACAUUAUUAACAAAACAAAAUAGAGAAAAACCGAAAAAAAAGAGGGAUGCAACGCGAGGACUUUCCGGGAGGUAAUCUAUCCUAGUACUACUCUCGCCCAAGCACCCUUACCUGCGGAGUUCUGAUGGGAUCCGGUGCAGUAGUGCUGGUAUGAUCGCAUGUGUUACUACAUGCAAUGCAAUCAUAUAUAUUCUUUUUUGAAGACUUUAUGAUCCAUUUGCCGUAGGUCCCACCAGCUAUGUAGGAAUACCCUAUCUUGUUUAUAAGAGCUUUGAUACAUGCAAAAUAUUCGAAAACAAUGUCCGAACAUAUAAUUUUUGUCCCGUAAUAUAGCAAAGAUCACGAAAAGGCCAGAAAAAAUACAUUUCGGUCAAAAUUUGGAGUAGAAAAAAACCCCUUCCUCAUUCAUUGGACAGCUCUCUUUGGGCUUUCCGAAAAGGUAUCACAUGCCAAGUUUGGUCUCACGGUUUAAAAGUUAUAGAGUCAUACAUUUUUCACAAAAAAAAGAAGAGAAAAAACAAAAAAAAGAGUGAUGAAACACGAGGACUUUCCUAGAGGUCACCCAUCCUAGUACUACUCUCGCCCAAGCACGCGUAACUGCGAAGUUCUGAUGGGAUCUGGUGCAUUAGUGCUGGUAUGAUCGCAUCUGUUACUACAUGCAAUGCAAUCGUAUCUAUUCUUUUUUGAAGAUUUUAUGAUCCAUUUGCAGUGGGUCCCACCAGCUAUGUAGGAAUACCCUAUCUUGUUUAUAAGAGCUUUGAUACAUGCAAAAUCUUCGAAAACAAUGUCCGAACAUAUAAUUUUCGCCCCGUAAUAUAGCAAAGAUCACGAAAAUGCCAAAAUAGUACAUUAAGGUCAAAAUUUGGAGUAGGAAAAAAAACCCUUCAUCAUUCAUUGGAGAGCUCUCUCUGGGCUUUCCGAAAAGGUAUCACAUGCCAAGUUUGGCCUCACGGUCUAAAAGUUAUAAAGUCAUACAUUUUUAACAAAAAAAAAAGAGAAAAACCGAAAAAAAGAGUUAUGUAACACGAGGACUUUCCUGGAGGUCACCCGUCCUAGUACUACUCUCGCCCAAACACGCUUAACUGUGGUGUUCUGAUAGGAUCAAGUGCAUUAGUGCUGGUAUGAUCGCAUCAGUUACUACAUGCAAUGCAAUCAUAUAUAUUCUUUUUUGAAAACUUUAUGAUCCAUUUGCCGUAGGUCCCACCAGCUAUGUCGGAAUACCCUAUCUUGUUUAUAAGAGCUUUGAUACAUGCAAAAUAUUCGAAAACAAUGUCCGAACAUAUAAUUUUUGUCCCGUAAUAUAGCAAAGAUCACGAAAAGGCCAAAAAAAAUACAUUUCGGUCAAAAUUUGGAGUAGAAAAAAACCCCUUCCUCAUUCAUUCGACAACUCUCUUUGGGCUUUCCGAAAAGGUAUCACAUGCCAAGUUUGGUCUCACGGUCUAAAAGUUAUAGAGUCAUACAUUUUUCACAAAAAAAAGAAGAGAAAAAACCAAAAAAAGAGUGAUGAAACACGAGGACUUUCCUGGAGGUCACUCAUGCUAGUACUACUCUCGCCCAAGCACGCUUAACUGCGAAGUUCUGAUGGGAUCUGGUGCAUUGGUGAUGGUAUGAUCGCAUCUGUUACUACAUGCAAUGCAAUCGUAUCUAUUUUUUUUUGAAGAUUUUAUGAUCCAUUUGCAGUGUGUCCCACCAGCUAUGUAGGAAUACCCUAUCUUGUUUAUAAGAGCUUUGAUACAUGCAAAAUAUUCGAAAACAAUGUCCGAACAUAUAAUUUUUGUCCCGUAAUAUAGCAAAGAUCACGAAAAGACCAGAAAAAAUACAUUUCGGUCAAAAUUUGGAGUAGAAAAAAAACCCUUCCUCAUUCAUUGGACAGCUCUCUUUGGGCUUUCCGAAAAGGUAUCACAUGCCAAGUUUGGUCUCACGGUUUAAAAGUUAUAGAGUCAUACAUUUUUCACAAAAAAAAGAAGAGAAAAAACAAAAAAAAGAGUGAUGAACCACGAGGACUUUCCUGGAGGUCACCCAUCCUAGUACUACUCUCGCCCAAGCACGCGUAACUGCGAAGUUCUGAUGGGAUCUGGUGCAUUAGUGCUGGUAUGAUCACAUCUGUUACUACAUGCAAUGCAAUCGUAUCUAUUCUUUUUUGAAGAUUUUAUGAUCCAUUUGCAGUGGGUCCCACCAGCUAUGUAGGAAUACCCUAUCUUGUUUAUAAGAGCUUUGAUACAUGCAAAAUCUUCGAAAACAAUGUCCGAACAUAUAAUUUUCGCCCCGUAAUAUAGCAAAGAUCACGAAAAUGCCAAAAUAGUACAUUUAGGUCAAAAUUUGGAGUAGGAAAAAAAAACCUUCAUCAUUCAUUGGAUAGCUCUCUCUGGGCUUUUCGAAAAGGUAUCACAUGCCAAGUUUGGCCUCACGGUCUAAAAGUUAUAAAGUCAUACAUUUUUAACAAAAAAAAAAGAGAAAAACCGAAAAAAAGAGUUAUGAACCACGAGGACUUUCCUGGAGGUCACCCGUCCUAGUACUACUCUCGCCCAAACACGCUUAACUGCGGUGUUCUGAUAGGAUCAAGUGCAUUAGUGCUGGUAUGAUCGCAUCAGUUACUACAUGCAAUGCAAUCAUAUAUAUUCUUUUUUGAAGACUUUAUGAUCCAUUUGCCGUAGGUCCCACCAGCUAUGUAGGAAUACCCUAUCUUGUUUAUAAGAGCUUUGAUACAUGCAAAAUAUUCGAAAACAAUGUCCGAACAUAUAAUUUUUGUCCCGUAAUAUAGCAAAGAUCACGAAAAGGCCAAAAAAAAUACAUUUCGGUCAAAAUUUGGAGUAGAAAAAAACCCCUUCCUCAUUCAUUGGACAGCUCUCUUUGGGCUUUCCGAAAAGGUAUCACAUGCCAAGUUUGGUCUCACGGUCUAAAAGUUAUAGAGUCAUACAUUUUUCAGAAAAAAAAGAAGAGAAAAAACCAAAAAAAGAGUGAUGAAACACGAGGACUUUCUUGGAGGCCACCCAUCCUAGUACUACUCUCGCCCAAGCACGCUUAACUGCGAAGUUCUGAUGGGAUCUGGUGCAUUAGUGAUGGUAUGAUCGCAUCUGUUACUACAUGCAAUGCAAUCGUAUCUAUUCUUUUUUGAAGAUUUUAUGAUCCAUUUGCAGUGGGUCCCACCAGCUAUGUAGGAAUACCCUAUCUUGUUUAUAAGAGCUUUGAUACAUGCAAAAUAUUCGAAAACAAUGUCCGAACAUAUAAUUUUCGCCCCGUAAUAUAGCAAAGAUCACGAAAAUGCCGAAAUAGUACAUUAAGGUCAAAAUUUGGAGUAGGAAAAAAAAACCUUCCUCAUUCAUUGGAGAGCUCUCUUUGGGUUUUCCGAAAAGGUAUCACAUGCCAAGUUUGGCCUCACGGUCUAAAAGUUAUAAAGUCAUACAUUUUUAACAAAAAAAAAAAGAGAAAAACCGAAAAAAAGAGUUAUGCAACACGAGGACUUUCCUGGAGGUCACCCGUCCUAGUACUACUCUCGCCCAAACACGCUUAACUACGGUGUUCUGAUAGGAUCAAGUGCAUUAGUGCUGGUAUGAUCGCAUCAGUUACUACAUGCAAUGCAAUCAUAUAUAUUCUUUUUUGAAGACUUCAUGAUCCAUUUGCCGUAGGUCCCACCAGCUAUGUAGGAAUACCCUAUCUUGUUUAUAAGAGCUUUGAUACAUGCAAAAUAUUCGAAAACAAUGUCCGAACAUAUAAUUUUUGUCCCGUAAUAUAGCAAAGAUCACGAAAAGGCCAGAAAAAAUAAAUUUCGGUCAAAAUUUAGAGUAGAAAAAAACCCCUUCCUCAUUCAUUGGACAACUCUCUUUGGGCUUUCCGAAAAGGUAUCACAUGCCAAGUUUGGCCUCACGGUCUAAAAGUUAUAGAGUCAUACAUUUUUCACAAAAAAAAGAAGAGAAAAACCAAAAAAAAGAGUGAUGAAACACGAGGACUUUCCUGGAGGUCACCCAUCCUAGUACUACUCUCGCCCAAGCACGCUUAACGGCGGUGUUCUGAUAGGAUCAAUUACAUUUGUGCUGGUAUGAUCGCAUCAGUUACUACAUGCAAUGCGAUCAUAUAUAUUCUUUUUUGAAGACUUUACAAUCCAUUUGUCGUAGGUCCCACCAGCUAUGUAGGAAUCCCCUAUCUUGUUUAUAAGAGCUUUGAUACAUGCAAAAUAUUCGAAAACAAUGUUCGAACAUAUAAUUUUUCGCCCCGUAAUAUAGCAAAGAUCACGAAAAGGCCAGAAAAAGUACAUUUAGGUCAAAAUUUGGAGUAGAAAAAACCCCCCCUUCCUCAUUCAUUGGAGAGCUCUCUUUGGGCUUUCCGGAAAGGUAUCACAUGCCAAGUUUGGCCUCACGGUCUAAACCUUAUAGACUCAUACAUUUUUAACAAAAAAAAGAAGAGAAAAAACGAAAAAAAGAAGGAUACAACACGAGGACUUUCCGAGAGGUUACCCAUCUUCGUACUACUCUCGCACAAGUACGCUUAACUGCGGAGUUCUGAUGGGAUCUGGUGCAUUAGUGCUGGUAUGAUCGCAUCUGUUAUUACAUGCAAUGCAAUCGUAUCUAUUCUUUUUUCAAGACUUUAUGAUCCAUUUGCCGUGGGUCCCACCAGCUACGUAGGAAUACCCUAUCUUGUUUAUAAGAGCUUUGAUACAUGCAAAAUAUUCGAAAACAAUGUCCGAACAUAUAAUUUUCGUCCCGUAAUAUAGCAAAGAUCACAAAAAGGCCAGAAAGAGUACAUUUACGUCAAAAUUUGGAUAGAAAAAAAACAAAUAGAAGAAUUCCAUUUUGACUUCCUCAUUCAUCGGAAAGCUCUCUUUGGGCUUUCCGAAAAGGUAUCACAUGCCAAGUUUGGAAUCACGGUUUAAAAGUUAUAGAGUCAUACAUUUUUAACAAAAAAUAAAGAGAAAACCCGAAAAAUGAGGGAUGCAACACGAGGACUUUUCGGGAGGUCACCCAUCGUAGUACUACUCUCGCCCAAGCACGCUUAACUGUAGAGUUCUGAUGGGAUCCGGUUCAUUAUUGCUGGUAUGAUCGCAUCCGUUACUACAUGCAAUGCAAUCGUAUCUAUUCUUUUUUGAAGACUUUAUGAUCCAUUUGCCGUGGGUCCCACCAGCUAUGUUGGAAUACCCUAUCUUGUUUAUAAGAGCUUUGUUACAUGCAAAAUAUUCGAAAACAAUGUCCGAACAUAUAAUAUUUGCCCCGUAAUAUAGCAAAGAUCACGAAAAGGCCAGAAAACCUAUAUUAAGUUCAAAAUUUGGAGUAGAAAAAAACCAAUAGAAGAAUUCCAUUUUCCUUCCUCACUCAUCGGAGAGCUCUCUUUGGGGCUUUCCGAAAAGGUAUCACAUGCAAAGUUUGGCCUCACAGGCUAAAAGUUAUAGAGUCGUACAUUUUUAACAAAAAAAAAAAGAGAAAAGCCGAAAAAAAGAAGGAUGCAACACAAGGACUUUCCGGGAGGUCAGCCAUCCUAAUAUUACUCUCGCCCAAGCACGCUUAACUGUAGAGUUCUGAUGGGAUCCGGUGCAUUAGUGCUGGUAUGAUCGCAUCUGUUACUACAUGCAAUGCAAUCGUAUCUAUUCUUUUUUUAAGACUUUAUGAUCCAUUUACCGUGGGUCCCACCAGCUACGUAGGAAUAACCUAUCUUAUUUAUAAGAGCUUUGAUACAUGCAAAAUAUUCGAAAACAAUGUCCGAACAUAUAAUUUUCGUCCCGUAAUAUAGCAAAGAUCACAAAAAGGCCAGAAAGAGUACAUUAAGGUCAAAAUUUUGGAGUAGAAAAAAAAACCCUUCCUCAUUCAUUAAAGAGCUCUCUUUGGCAUUUCCGAAAAGGUGUCACAUGCCAAGUUCGGCCUCACGGUCUAAAAGUUAUAGAGUCAUACAUUGUUAACAAAAAAAAAGAGAAAAACCGAUUAAAAGAGUUAUGCAACACAAGGACUUUCCUGGAGGUCACCCGUCCUAGUACUACUCUCGCCCAAGCACGCUUAAAUGCGGAGUUCUGAUGGGAUCCGGUCCAUGAGUGGUGGUAUGAUCACAUCCGUUACUACAUGCAAUGCAAUCGUAUCUAUUAUUUUUUGAAGACUUUAUGAUCCAUUUGCCGUGGGUCCCACCAGCUAUGUAGGAAUACCCUAUCUUGUUUAUAAGAGCUUUGAUACAUCCAAAAUAUUCGAAAACAAUGUUGGAACGUAUAAGUUUCGCUCAGUAAUAUAGCAAAGAUCACGAAAAGGCCACAAAAAGUACAUUAAGGUAAAAAUUUAGAGUAGGAAAAAAAAACAAUAGGAGAAUUCCAUGUUCCUUCCUCAAUCAUCGGAGAGCUCUCUUUGGGCUUUCCAAAAAGGUAUCACAUGCCAAGUUUGGCCUCACGGUCUAAAAGUUAUAGAGUCAUACAUUUUUAACAAAAAAAAAUAGAGAAAAACCAAAAAAAAGAGGGAUGCAACACGAAGACUUUCCUGGAGGUCACCCAUCCUAGUACUACUCUCGCCCAAGCACGCUUAACUGCGGUGUUCUGAUAGGAUCAAGUGCAUUAGUGCUGGUAGGAUCGCAUUCGUUACUACAUGCAAUGCAAUUAUAUAUAUUCUUUUUUGAAGACUUUAUGAUCCAUUUGCGGUAGGUCCCACCAGCUAUGUAGGAAUACCCUAUCUUGCUUAUAAGAGUUUUGAUACAUGCAAAAAUAUUCGAAAACAAUGUCCGAACAUAUAAUUUUUGUCCCGUAAUAUAACAAAGAUCACGAAAAGGCCAAAAAUAGUACAUUUCGGUCAAAACAUGGAGCAGAAAAAAAACCCCUUCCUCAUUCAUCGGAGAGCUCUCAUUGGGCUUUCCGAAAAGAUAUCACAUGCAAAGUUUGGCCUCACGGUUUAAAAGUUAUAGAGUCAAAUAUUUUUAACAAAAAAAAGAGAGAAAAACCGAAAACAAAGAGGGAUGCAACACGAGGACUUUCCGGAAGGUCACCCAUCCUAGUACUACUCUAGCCCAAGCACGCUUAACCGCGGAGUUCUGAUAGGAUCCGGUGCAUUAGUGCUGGUAUGAUCGCAUCAGUUACUACAUGCAAUGCAAUCAUAUAUAUUUUUUUUGAAGACUUUAUGAUCCAUUUGCCGUGGGUCCCACCAGCUAUGUAGGAAUACCUAUCUUGUUUAUAAGAGCUUUGAUACAUGCAAAAUAUUUGAAAACAAUGUCCGAACGUAUAAUCUUCGUCCCGUAAUAUAGCAAAGAUCACGAAAAGGCCAGAAAAAGUACAUUAAGGUCAAAAUUUUGACUAGAAAAAAAAAACAAUAGAAAAAUUCCAUUGUCCUUCCUCAUUCAUCGGAGAGUUCUCUUUGGGCUUUCCGAAAAGGUAUCACAUGCCAAGUUUGGCCUCACGGUCUAAAACUUAUAGAAUCAUACAUUCUUAACAAAAAAAAAAAAAAAACCGAAAAAAAGAAGAAUGCAACACAAGGACUUUCCAGGAGGUCAACCAUCCUAGUAGUACUCUCGCCCAAUCACGCUUAACUGCAGAGUUCUGAUGGGAUCCGGUGCAUUAGUGCUGGUAUGAUCGCAUC
rnacentral:lncRNA from 1 species